AAUGCAAAAACAUCUUUCUUACUUCUUUUUUUCCAAAAAAAAAAAAAUCAAAAUAUAUUUAUUUUUUUAAUAUCAUUUAAUUAGAAUAUCAAAGUGUAACAAGCUUAACUAUUUUAUAUCAUAGAUUCAUAUGGUAGACACAAAAAAGUAUAAAACAUCUCAUUGUUAUUAUCAUCAUACAAUAUUAUUUUAUUUUUACAGUAGGCCUCACAUUCACCAAGAACACCACACCAGUGCCAAAAGCAAAUGACCCACCACCUAUGAGAUUUUUUUUUUUCUUCCUCCUCCUGUUUCUUCUUCCUCCUUUUUCUCUUUCCUUGCUUUCCCCAGCUAGUACGUAUUUUCACCUGCAAGAUAAAAACAAACAAUAUCAUGCCUUUGAUAGUAAAAAAGAUGACCAAUCUACCAUAUAACAAGAAGGAAAAAGAAAAAAAAACAUAGAAAAAUCAUCAGAAAAAAGAAAAUCUUCAAAUUGGAAACUACUUUUUCCCAUGGCAUUUGAAGAUGAUGAUGACAGAUCGAUCAUUCUGCAAUAUUAAAAGAUCCUUCUUCUGCUAAUAAUGAUCUACAGUUGUUCAAUCUCAAGAAAAACACAGAUCCAACAGGUUUCUGAUGGAGAAAUUCAUAUGAAAAAUGAGAGCAAUAUGAUAAUAAGGAAAUCUAGCAGACUGCAUACCAUAGGUGGGAAGAAGAAGGGAGGAGGUAGGGGGUGGUCUAGUCGCUGUCGCUGCUGCUGCUGCUAUGGCCAUCAUGUUCAUGGCCAUGCUCGUGCUUCUUCUUCUCCUUCUUCUUCUUCUUCUCCCCAACAGGCCCGUGUUCAUGUCCAUGUCCUUGGAUCUUCUCCAUUAUCCCUCCCUUGUGUUCACCUUGCCCAUAACCCUCUCCCUUGUGUUCACCAUGCCCAUACCCCUGACCCUCUCCUUUGUAUUCACUAUGCCCAUACCCCUGACCCUCUCCUUUGUAUCCACCAUGCCCUUGCCCCUCUCCCUUGUAUCCACCAUGCCCUUGCCCCUCUCCCUUGCGCUUCUCCUCCUCCUCCUUGCGCCCUCCCCCCAUGUGAAGGGUCUCCUCUAUCUUGUGGAUGAUUCCUGCCAUUUUUCUCUCUGUGAAAACCUUGAUCUGAUGUACACAACAAUGGACAACCAACCUCCCUUAUUUAUGGGCAUUCAUAUUCCAACUUAUCUCAACCCUUGUUUCUGAUUCAUGUUCCAUUGCAAUAUCAUGAACGUACACGUGGAUGAUAUUAAAUGCGAAUUUUCUUCUGAUUUUUCCAAGACACGCGGCGGAUCGAGACAGCAUUUCCGAUCGUCAUCUGAUUCAGUUUUUCCUGUACUCUUCCUCCUCUAUGAUUCCACGUUUUCAAAAGUGCUUUUUCCAGCGAAUACCGUGUGUCGGCACUUGGAUAAAAGUCCGCGUGACAAUGAUUUUAUUUUAGAUUUUGAUAUUGUCUCUUUUUUUCGUUCCAUCCUAAUUAUGAAUAUAAUUAAUUUUAAUUUUGGGAGAUGAAGUGGGACCCAGUUGUUCAUAUCAAAAUGACUUGUUGUUUACAUUAAAAUAAGAUGCGGAAUGGAUAAGACGGCGUGCUCAUUCAGGUGCCGACACACGGUAUUCAUAGAAAAGUGCUUUUGGAAAAGUUGGAAGCCAUCCAGAAGUUAUGAUCGGGAUGAGAAGCCACACCCUCCACCACAUCAGCCUACCAUUCCUCUCCACGUCCACAUGCAAAACCAUUUCUCCAUCCGCCGCGUGUAUCCAAAAUUGAAAUUCACAUUGGAUUGCGUCAAUUAAUUCUAUAAAUAAUUUGAAAGGUAAUAAAAAAUAAAAUAAGAGAUAUAAAGUCUCAUAUUUUUUUAAAAAUAAUAUUUUUUUUUUUAAAUAUCUCCAUGCAGGCCCACAGUAUUGAAGGGAGUCACGUGGUCACGUGAUUAUGACACCGGCAAUAAAGGAGGUACGUUGAAGUCUUCAUCUUAUCAACACCGUAUUAGAUUCACAACCCCACUCUGCUUAAUGCCUGCCCUCUGCUUUUAUGAGAGAUGGUGAGGACCACUUGUAACACUUUGCCGACAGGUUGUGUUUUGCCCGUUUCCUCUCUAUUUCAUUUCUUAAUGUUAAAAUUUAAUCUUGAUUAAAAAAAAAUUAAAUUCUAAAAAAAGGGUUUGAAAUUUCUAUAUCCAUUCCUUAACAAGUUAAUUAAAUAGAUUUAUUAUAUUUAAAAUUAUAAUAUAAAUUGUACCUUCCUUAAGAUAUGUUGGGAGUAGUAAAUUUUAGGGCUCGUUUGACUGUGAUUCAAUCUUCAAUUGGGUAGGAGACAUUUGUGUGGUAAAAUGUAUUAAUACUUGAUAAAUAAAGAAAAAUUAUAUGAAGACUUAAAGUCUAUGUUUGGAUAAAUUUCUAAUUUUUUGUUUUUGAGAUGAAAAAUCUUAUACAAAAUAUACAAGUUUUUAUAUAUAAAAAAAAUUGUUUUGUAUAAGAGUUUUUAUAUUUUCUACAAGAGUUUCUAUUUUUGAAAAUAAAAAAUUAGAAAAUGUAUCUAAACGUCUCCUAUAUUAGUUGAUCGUAGAGAAUCUAUUUUUAAAUUUUUCUUACUUGUCCCAAUCAUAAAAAUAAAAACUAGAAAAUUGGAAGUAGGGGAGGUCUUAAGAACCCUACUAUAGGGAAAGUCCGAGUUUACAUUUCCUCAUAUGCUGAGAUUUUUUUAAUUCUAUCUCAUUAUCUAGCCCUUCAUUUUUAUCUCAUUGCCUUCUUAAAAGACUUCUUACUUAAUAAGUGACACCCUUAUAUUAUUACAACUAUUAAGGUUGGGAGCCGAACUUUAGGGUUCCUACAAAGGCUAGGUGCACCUUGAUGGUAUGUUUGAUGCUUAUAUCGUCAAGUUCUUAAGAUAAGUCGAGAAUCUUGGUUUAAUAGACAAAAUUGGAGGUUCAUUGAGAUGAGAUAAACUAUGUAGUUUUAGACCACUUUGACUGAAUUAAGAGAAGGGGACCUACCACCAUCAAGCAAAACAUGUUAUCGAUAGACAAUACUCCAAGUCAAAGGCCUCUCAUUGAUGACCUAUACGACUAAUAGGGGGCAAUCUUAAACAUCAAUAUAAAGACCUAGUUAAAAAGGUUGUCAUUUGUGCAUAAAUUUGAGAGUAUUUUGGAUUUUGGCCCCUAAAAGCUUUUGACCGUCUCUCCAAGAGUCUUUUUCUAAGUGCCCGUUGUAUUUCAUUCCUACUUUAAGUUGAUUACCACUUGCUCUCCUCCAUUUUUCUUCAAGAAUUAACAACUUAACAUAUUUAUAGCCCAACUAUCUACAAAAAAACCCUCAAUCAACAUUAAAGUAACUACAGUGAGGAGUUGCAAAAAAGCGUUGAGGAAAUGUAGUGGCAUGUAGGCUCUUAUCGAAGAAUAGAAUCAUUCUUACCAUAACCAAUCCUAAGCUCUUAUUCCAAGCAAUAGCUGUAGGAAGAGUGUAAAUAAUUUUUAUUUUUAUUUUAUUUUUGGGAAGAGUCCUAUUGGGAAUUUUUUUUUUAUUUUAAUCUAUUAAUCUUAUAUUUUUGGGAAGAGUCCUAUUGGGAUUGUGCUAGUGGAGUCUCAUUCCUUUUAUAAGUAGAAUCCCCUUCCAUUUUGAGUCAUGUUCUGAUUACAAGUAGAGUCACAUUAGGACUGUAUUAGUGGCUUAUAAAAGAAGGUCACUCCUCACUCUCUGUAUAUGAAUACCAAUUUUCCAGAGAGUUUUUCAGAGAGUAUUUCCAUACAUCUAUCUGGAGGAUUUUUUGUUUUUAAAACCCGAGUUGUACACAUCUCGCUUACAAAGUGCACCCAAUGUGGGAUCUAGCUGUUGAAUCCUAGAGGUAGACCACUGGUACCCUAGUACACCGAGUUCGUCUUCGAGGAAGGUGGAUCUAUUUCAAGGACAAUGUUUGUCAUGCCUCAAUCGAUGAGUUUUUCUUCUUAUUAAUUUUGUUCUUUGUUUGUGUCUUUUAGGCUAAUCAUUUGUUUUCAUACCCUUAAAACCAAUAGUAGCAAGGCAUUUUCCAAUCUUAUUCCCUUACUUAUCACUUUUGAAAACAUCUAAACUUGGAUCUUAAACGGUCUCCACUUGUUCUAUCUCCUAACUUGAAAGAGGCAUAUGUUGUUCCUAACUAACCUAUUUAAGAUAUGUAACAACGAUUACCAUUGAAGCCCUAUUAUAAUCCACCUCUUUCAAGCUAGUUAGUUGACCUUAUUCCCUUUAGUAUAUGACUCCUACCAUCAUAUGCUCUUCAAUGGCCACAUUAAUAAUGCCUAUGAGCAUCUUUGUCACUUCAUCCAACCCCUUUGUGCCCAUAGAGCAGGCCAUAACCUUCAUCUUCAUGAAUUCCUUAAUUCUUUAAGAUGACUACUCUCUUUCACCACAGGUUUGUUAGCACAGAUAAAUGUUUUGUCUACAUUAAUUUAAUCCAAGAUUGUUCACACCAUGUAUAAGAUGUCACAUGUUAUAUCCAUCAAUUCUAUUAACGUGCAACAGGGCAUUACAACCCUAUCUCUAAAGAGAUCCUAGCCCACUUGUAAAAUAGUGAUAGCAUAAUGAUAGACAAUAUUGUCUACCUCAAAAGUAAAAAAAUUCCAACCUUUUCUAAGAUUUAAAAUAGCUCACUAAGUGAUUUCUACCUGAACACUUUUGUCUUUAUCUUGGUUAAGAACAAGAUUUAACACUACAAUGCAAAGCCCUUGUAAAGGUAACUUUGGGAUGAAUUUUGUUGAGAUUGUAUGCUCUAAAAACUACUAUAUUUGGCAUUUUAUCUUGCCAAUAAUUUUUUUUAUUAUGAAUCUUAUCAUAUAUCUUGGAUAAUUUGUAUCUAUUUUUAUGCAUGAUUAAUGUAUUAAUGUAUCCAAGUUUUAAAUUGUAGAUACAAUGAUGCAUAACAUUGGAUGUGCAUAGUGUUGAGGAUCCUCUGCCUUAAUCUAAGGCCUUCCAUAUGUGCAUCCAUUGACCCUCAAUCAUAGGAGCUUGUUUAGCUAAUUCUUUCCAUUUAUUUUAUAAUCAAUCUUUAUGUGUAAUUAAGUUGUUAUACAAUUUGUGAAUGAUUAUAUAUAUGAAAGACUCUCACCACAAAAAGGUGUGGUGGUUUUCAAACAUUCUCAUGGUAUCAGAGUAUACUUGGAUUAACAUCCCACGAUCCCCAAUGGCCUCUGAUUCUUCUUCCACCCUCCUUCCCUUCAACACCAUGAUUCACAUGGGUACUAUCAAACUCUCAUCCUCUAACUAUCUCUUAUGGAAAAGCUAACUUCUUCCCUUUCUCGAGAGCCAAGGUCUGCUGGGUCAUGUGGACGGUUCUCUUGAGCCGCCACCUCCAUUUGAUCCUCCCACCUCUCAGACACCAAAUACCAAACACUUGGCAUGGAAAGCCAUUGAUCAGAGCCUAUUGACUAUUCCCCUCGCUUCUGGUUUGAUGCCUUUAGCACUACAGCUUAUAUCAUCAACUGAUUUCCCGCACCACUUCUUGGAGGUAAGUCCCCUUUUGAGCUUCUAUAUAGUUCCUCUCCAAAUUAUGAAAAUUUUCAUCCAUUUGGUUGUUGUGUUUAUCCUUGUUUACGUGAUUAUAUGCCUAAAAAAUUUCCUCCCCGUAGCAUUCCUUGCAUUUUUUGGGUUACAGCUCCUCUUACAAAGGGUUUCAUUGUCUUGAUCCUACCACUUCUAGGCUAUAUAUCACCCGCUAUGCUCAAUUUGAUGAGACUCACUUUCCCUUUCUCACUACCUCUCAGGCUCAACCCCUAUCCUCCCUCUAAUUCUCAAAUUUUCUGGAACCCAGUAUUCCCCCUCCAGUCAUGCUACCAUAUUCUCUUAUGCCUCAUUCCCGGCAUAUUACACAAUCUGGAUCUACCCCAUGUAGUAUUUGUACUAAUCCAGUGGAUGAGCCUUUGCAGGUUAAUGAUUCUCUUAUAGGUCCAUCUCUGCCACACUUAGAUCCUAGUCUUGCUUCUCUUGAGCUCACCACCGAGCUACCUACCCUUGCUCCUAUUGUGGCUGCUUCGAUGGCUUCUUAUCCCAUGAUUACACGAGCCAAAAUUGGUAUUUUCAAAAAUCGUCAUCCGGCAAAUCUUACUCUCUUGGGAUCCUCCGGUCUUCUCUCUACUCUACUUGCAUCCACUAAGCCCAAAUGAUUCAAAUCUAUUGCUAAGAAUCCUGUUUGGCUAACCGCUAUGGAUGAAGAAGUUCAAGCCCUGCAAACUAAUCGUACCUGGAUUUUGGUUCAUCACCUUACCAAUACCAACAUUGUGGGUUCCAAAUGGGUGUUUCAGACCAAAUACUUGCCUGAUGGAUCAAUUGAGCUUCUCAAAGCUCGCCUUGUUGCCAAAGGCUAUACACAGGUACCUGGUCUCAACUACACUGACACUUUUAGUCCUGUUAUCAAGGCUACAACUAUCUGUGUUGUCCUCUCUCUUGCUGUGACCAACAAAUGGUCUCGUUGUCAACUUGAUGUCAAGAAUGCAUUUCUUAAUGGUCAUCUUACUGAACAUGUCUAUAUGGAACAACCUCCUAGGUAUAUUGAACCCCGCUUCCCUAAUCAUGUCUGUCAGUUGAAGAAAGCUCUUUAUGGCCUCAAACAGGCUCUUCGUGUCUGGUUUCAGCGAUUCAGCUCUUUUCUCAUUCAACUUGGUUUUUAUUGCAGUCGUGCCAACACCUCACUCUUUGUCUUUCAUAGGCAGUCUGACAUUAUUUAUUUGCUUCUUUAUGUUCAUGACAUCAUUAUUACAGCCAACAACUCAUCUCUUCUUGAUAGUUUUACUCAUAAGCUUAAUACUUAGUUCGCUACUAAGGAUUUGGGUUCUCUCAGUUACUUUCUUGGUCUGGAAGCUACAUCCACUAUUGAUGGUCUCUUUCUUAGUUAGUUGAAAUAUGCCUGGGACAUCCUCACGCGAGCUCAGUUACUUGACAGCAAGCUUGUUCACACCCUCAUGGUUGUUUCUCAGCAUCUGUCUUCUGAUGGUCCUUUGUUUUCAGAUCCUACUCUUUACCGAUCUCUUGUUGGUGCUCUCUAGUAUUUGACUAUCACGCGUCCCGAUAUUGCUCAUGUUGUAAACUCCGUAAAUCAAUUUCUGCACUCUCCGACUGAAGACCACUUUCUUGCUAUCAAGCGCAUUCUUCGCUAUGUUAAGAGCACACUGCAUUUUGGCCUCACUCUCCAUCCAUCUGCUGCUCUUGGUGCUUUAGUUGCUUACUUUGAUGUUGACUGGGCCGGAUGUCUUGAUACUCGUCGCUCUACCUCUGGUUAUUCUAUUUACCUUAGCGAUAACUUGGUUUCCUGGAGUGCCAAAAAGCAACCUACUGUUUCUUAUUCCAGUUGUGAGUCUGAGUAUCAUGCUCUUACUCUCACUAUCGCUGAACUUCUUUGGCUCAUGCAUCUUCUUCGAGACCUUAGAAUUUCCCUUCCACAACAACCUCUUCUCCUAUGUGACAACAAAAGUGCAAUUUUUUUUUAGCUCCAACCCCGUUUCUCACAAACGGGCCAAGCAUGUUGAGUUAGAUUACCACUUUCUUCAUGAACUUGUUGUUGCUGGCAAACUUCGCACUCAAUACAUGCCCUCUCACUUACAGGUUGCUGAUAUCUUCACCAAAAGUGUACCUCGACCUCUUUUUUAAUUUUUUCGCACCAAGCUCCACAUCUAUUCCAAUUCAACGCUCAGCUUGCGGGGGGGUGUUGAGGAUCCUUUGCCUUAAUCUAAGGCCUUCCAUAUGUGCAUCCAUUGACCCUCAAUCAUAGGAGCUUGUUUAGCUAAUUCUUUCCAUUUAUUUUAUAGUCAAUCUUUGUGUAAUUAAGUCAUUAUACAAUUUGUAAAUGAUUAUAUAUAUGAAAGACUCUCACCAUAAAAAGGUGUGGUGGUUUUCAAACAUUCUCACAUAGGAGUUCAUGGUUGUAAGUGUUGAAAUCCAAAAAAGAGAAAAAGAAAGAAAAGAAAAUCCAAGAUUUCUCAUUAUAAAUUAUUUUUUUCUCUUUGAAUCUUUUUUAGAUUUCAACGUGGUAUUAGAGCUUGGUUUGGUGGAGGUUGUGGGUUCGAACCACCUCUCCACAUAUUUAGUGAGACUUUUGAUUUGUGAUUUCAUGAAAGAGAGUUUAAUAUCAUAUACUAUUUUCGUAUCUAUUUGAUUGUGAGAUAUCGUAAUAGGUGAUCGCAUUGUUCUUUUCUUGUUUAAUCCUAGUAUUUGAUUUUAUAUUUAUUUGUUGAAUAUGAAUCCAAAUUCUGUUUGUCUAUGUUUGUUGGAUAUGAGUUCAAAUUUUAUCUAUUUUUAUUUGUUGGAUAUGAAUUCAAAUUCUAUAUAUCUUUAUUUGUUGGAUAUGAAUCUAAAAUUCCAUUUUUAUCUGUUGGAUAUGAAUUCAAAUUACGCCUAUAUUUCAUCCUUCUAUGGUUUUGCGUUUGUUUCCGUCUCUUUUCUUUAAUCUAUCCUUCCUUAAUAGUUUUGUGUCUUCUUCUUUUUCUUCUUCUUCUCUAUUUCCUUAAUAGUUUUAUGGUUUCUACUACUUCUCCUUCUUUGGGCAUAUACCAUUUUUAUUCAUGUUGAGUCUUAUAAUGUCUCUAAGUCUGAAUUUGUUCAUAUUGAUCAUUUUUUUUAUGAUAUAGAUAGUUUUCAUGCAUGUUCUGGUACUUUGGUUAUUUAUUUUUAUGCUCUUUCCUCUCCUCUUACAAUUACUAUUAGAAGUUAUUCUUGAUCCUCUUUGACAAUAUGCUAUGACUGAUGAACUUUUUGCUUUGUAUAAGACUGUUACUUGAUAUUUGGUACUUUAAUUAAGCGGUGGUACAAAGCUUGAUUGGUUGCUAAGGAAUUUUCUCAAUAAUAUGAUUGCAAAGUUGUUUACCAAGUUGACAAACUUUCAAUGCUUCUUGUAGGCGCAUCGUGAGUUAUGGGGGGAUGUUAGAAGUUAUUAAUAUAUUUAGUUACUAUAUUAGAAUUAUUUAGUUACUAAAUAUAUAAUUCUAAUAUUGUAACUAAAUUUAUUAAUAACUUCUAACAUUAACGUCCUUCCAAACUAAAAUGUAGUUCACAAUCACAAAUGAAAAUGACAAUUCAUUUGGUCAAUUAUAAUAUAUUGUUUCUACAUUGGGAGUGUGGUCUGACUGAUCAUAGGGGUGUCAUAACUUAUGCAUUGGCAUUUGAUGUGUUGAAGAAUGGUCAUUGAAUAGAUAUCUUGUAACUCAUCCAUGUAGGAAACAUACUCUUGGUUAAUAGUUUCAUCCAAGCUUAAUAGUUCCUUCCAACGAAAAUGAUUUGCAAUAUAUAAUAUUAUUAUAUAUUAAAAGGAUGUUGUUGUUAAAAAGAUUUUGUCUUUUAGUUUAUAAUCAUACUUGGAUGUGCCAAAGAUUUGAGAAGAAUAUAGAUUGUUAGUCAAUAAGGUAAUCAAUCUAUAAGCUUUCUUAACAAACUAUUAUCAUGGAGGAGAUCACCUACACAUUGUCUAACAAGUUUAGGUCUUAAUAUAAUGUUUCCUACCUUUAGAGUGCAACCAGUGAUGAAAAAAUCAAAAAAUAUCUUUGAAAUAUUGGUGAUAUUUCCAUUAUCGGAGGUGGCCGAAGCGAAUUUGACUACCAAUUAUCUAUUGGGGGAUUGUUUUGGCAAAAAAUCGAAAAUAUCAACAAUAUUUCGCUAAAAAACCGAAAUUUCAUCGAAAAGUCAAAAGUGGGAAGCACUUGUGCGUGGAGGAAAUUUUGGAGCACGUGUGCGUGGAGGAAAUUUUCCUCAAAAAAUCGUUGAUUUUACCCAAUUUUUUGGGUGAUGCCAUUUUUUUUUCCGCUAUUUUUUUCUUAUUUAAAAAAAUUAUAUAUUUUUAAUUUAUAUUAUCAUUUUAUUUUAUAUUAUCAUUUUAUUUUUAACUACUUUUCAUAUUUAUCUCAUUAAUCCUAUUUUUAAAAAUUAUUAUCACUUCACUCUUAAAUUUUUUUUAUAUUUAUUCUUUCAAUUUUAUUUAAUUUUAAACGUUUUUAUUUUAAAAUAUUAAAAAUAUAAUUUUACCCAAAAAAUUGCUACAAUAUAAAAAAUUAAGGAAGUUCUAAUAUUUUAUAAAUUAAAAUUAAUUUGAUAAGAUAAAUUAUUAAUAAUUUUAAUUUUUUUAAAUAAAUUAAUGUUAAUAAAAAAAGUUAUUACCACAUAUGUUCAAUAAAAUUUUAGAAAUUAAAUCUCAAAUAAAAUAUUUUAUAUAAAUUAAUUUAAUUUUCAUUUAAAAUGUAAUAAAACAUGUUUUAAUAAAAUUAUUUUAAAAUUUUUAAAAUAAAUGAAUAUAAAUAUAUUAAAAGAAUUUAAGCUAAUUUUUUAUUAUAAAAAUUUGAUAAAUAUUAUCUUUAAUCGUACUUAUGUCAAUUACAGUUAUAAAAUAACUUUAAUAUGUGUAUUAUUUCUUAUUUUUAUCAUUUUUUGAAAGUUUUCUAAGUAUUUCCAUUAAGUUUGAAUCAUUUAUGUUCAAUUGAUAUAUCUAUAAAAUAUAAGUAUCGAUAUAUUUGCAUUUACCAUGUUUUAAACCUUGAAUGCAACCAUGACAUUGUGGUAAAUAUGACCAUGGUUUAUCAACAUCAAUUAGAUCAUAAGGAUUGGUUGAAAUGCCAAUGUAUUUGAUAGGGAGUCAAGUAGUAGAAUGAUCAUCAAAUGCUUAUAGUGGCUUCUUAUAGAUCUUAUGCAUACUUAUCAUGGUUUUUUUAACAGAAUUUGAAAUGGAAAAAGAACCUUCAAGAUAUAUUAGGAAUAACUCAGGAUUGGGACCAAGCCAAUUAAGCACCCAAUAGGGCCACUUGAGCACCUUAGAGUACUCAAAUGAUCAUAAGGUCACAUAAGUGUUAGACGAGUUGUAACAACCCACUCGUAACCCUAUAGAUAUUUUCCAUUCUGGGCUCAAGGAGUUCUCACAACUUUAAAAUACAUAUACAUAAUUAAAAACUCAUACUUAUAUAGCGUCAAAAACUUUCUCUUUUAUCUGAUAUGGGACAUCACAAACACUCUUUCAUGCAAACACAACGUCCUCCUUGUGUCCCAAGGAUUGCGAAGUCAAAUAGACAAACGCUUCCUACAGGGCCAAACAAACCCCACAUCAAGGUCGGAGAUUGGCUCUAAUAUCAUUUGUAACGACCCACAUCCAAUAGUGUAAAUAUUUUCCGCUUUGAGCCUAAGGGGCCCUCACGGCUUUAAAACUCUUCUACAUAAUUAAGAGGAGUUCAUACUUAUAUAGCAUCAUAAAUUUUCUCUCCUAUUUGAUGUGGGAUGUCACACAAGUUUUUUAGGUUCAUAUCAUCUCCAAAAACUCCUUUCAUUAUAAUCUUUAUUGGAUACUUAGAUGAGUCUUGAAUUAUACUUUAUACAUGAGAAAAUUUAGUCACAAAUUAAUUAAUUAACUAAUUACUUGUGCAAAGAUCAAGUCAAUUAUUGACAUAUUACAUAAAGCAAGCUUCAGUUUGCCAAUGAAUUUGACUUUAGAAUAUUUAAUAUGUUAUUCUUAUAUAAAAAGUAUAUUAAAUACAAAAUUUUAAGUAUUCUAGUAGGUUUUCAAAUCUUGUCAUAUGGAUAUUUCAAAAUCCUUAUUUAUAAUAAGGAAAUAUUUUAAAAUAAUGAUAAGACUAGGAAAGAUACCUAAGUAACAUGAAAGAUUAAUUUUAAAGAAGAAUUCUCUAUUACUCUACCCUCAUCAAGUGGUCUUAGAGUCAUCUUAUAGUCGAACAAUAAUCCGAAAAAUCUUAGGCUCUAUCUAGUUCCUUAAGUAUUGUUCCUCUAUGAUUUUAAAGUUGUUCCAUGUUUUUUUUUCAAGUAUCAAUGUAAGAUUCUUUUCUAAGAGCAUAGGAAAAAAAGGUUCGCACGAGAUAAUCCAACCUAGAAAUACGUCCAAUGGUAAUAGCGGUGGUGGUGGUUAGGGGUGAUUUGAAUUGGGAAUUGGUCUAUAAUCCCCAAAAUAAGUUUUUCAAACAUUUUUAUGCCCUAACUUGAGAUAUUUUUGUCGUAUCUAAUUAGGAAAACUUACUUUUAAAAUUUUAAAAAUUUUAAUAAUUAUUUAUAAAAGAAUUCUAAACGAAAAUUCUUAAGAUGCUUGAAUUAUGACUAAUUCAUGAACUUUGUAAUGUUGUCGUUGUGCUCUAAUUUUAAACACAAAAUAUACUUAUUUGAGCUUCAAAUUUUAUAUAUUCAACUAAAAUAUAUUAGCAUAAGAUCCAUGAUAAUAAAGAGAAAUAUUUAGAACAUAAUGUAAUACAUUAACACUCAUAUACUUGGCAUGUUGUUACUUGUUACGCACCACAAACAAUAUUGGAUAUAAAGGAAAAAUGUUUUCAUAGGGAACAACAACUUCAUCAUCUUAGUUUUGGAUUAAGUAUGAAACAUGUUACUUUAUAUAAAUAUUAUUUUAAAAAUAUUACUAAUAUAAUAUUGUGGACCCCGUAUUUCGCUCAAUGCGUUUCCACUCGAUGGCGAAACUCGCUUUUUUAUUUGUUUAGUGAAAAUUUGAUUUUUAGAAAAGAUUUGGAGUCGCCACUUAUUUUUGUUUUAUUUUUAAAGGAAAAACAAAAUAAGAAAGAAAAACCCUAAGUGUGACUCCUUAUUUGGAAAAGCGGGUUUUUGAAAAAUCAAGUCUGGAUUCGGGGGUCAGGUUACUUAUUGGGAGGGUACAAUAAAGACCGUAGCACCUCUCUAAACCCUUUAAAAUGGGUCUCUACUAAAUAAGUUGAAGCAAGCAUGGCAAUUGACCAGGAGAUCAAUGGAUACCAAAGUGAUCAUAGAUCAAAAGUAAGUCAUGAUAAUAGAUAAAUGAACAAAGUGAGAGUGAGAGCAUACCUUGGCAGCAUAUAAUAAAGCGCUAUCAUGAAACAGAGUUAGUGCGCAAUAACGAAUACAAAACAUAUUACAUGCAUAUCAAAGUGCAAGACAAAGAUCAGGCAAUACUCAUUAAGCAUAACAAUUGACAAUCGGAAGAGAAAACUCAUAUGUAGGGCCCCCACCAAAGCCUAAUUGAUCUUUGCAUGAAUUAAUUCCACAAAUUCCAUUAUUUUGGAAUUAUGAAAAUUGUCUUCAUGCAUAUUAAAAAUCAAGGAAAACGAAAAAAAAUAUAUUUUAAAAUCGAAGAAAAUUUGAGAAAAUUGUUUACCUAAAAGGAAAUGUAGCAAAUUUAUUUAUAAAAAAAAAAAUAGCAACUUAAAACUCUGAUAAAGGAUGAAAAGUGGUAGAAUUAAAAAAUAUUUGAAAAUUGGAGUGAAAUUAAAAUUAUUUGAAACAAAACUAAAGUUUUGAAAUUUAUUCAAAAAUUGAAAGCUCGAAAAGUAUUUGAAGAUUAGCGUUUUGAAAAUUAAAUUUAAGAAUUGGAAUUUUGGGAAUUAAAUUUGAAAGAAAUUGAAAUUUUGAAGAUUAUUUGAGGAUUGGAGUUUUGAAAAUUAAGUUUAAGAAUUAGAAUUUUGGAAAUUAAAUUUGAAAGAAAUUGGAAUUUUGAAAAUUAUUUGAGAAUUGGAGUUUCGAAAAUUAAAUCAUGAAUUGGUGUUUUGGAAAUUAUUUGAAGAUGGAAUUUUAAUAAAUAAAUAAAUAAAAUAAUAAAAAAAUGUGAAAAUUGGAAUUUUGGAAAUUGGAAAUUAAAUUAGGAAAUUAGAAUUUUGAAGAAUUAUUUAAAGAUGGAAUUUUUAAAAAUAAAUAAAUAAAUAGAAUAAUAAUAAUAAUAACGAAAAUGAUAAUGAUUAAAUAAAUAAAUGUGAAAAUUGAAAUUUUGAAAAUUGGAAAUCAAAUUUGGAAAUUGGAGUUUUGAAGAAUUAUUUAAAGAUGAAUUUUAAAAAUAAAAUAAUAAUAACAAAAAUAAUAAUGACUAAAUAAAUAAAUGUGAAAAUUGGAAUUUUGGAAAUUGAAAAUUAAAUUAGGAAAUUAGAAUUUUGAAGAAUUAUUUAAAGAUGGAAUUUUUAAAAUAAAUAAAUAAAUAAAUAGAAUAAUAAUAAUAAUAAUGAAAAUAAUAAUGAUUAAAUAAAUAAAUGUGAAAAUUGGAAUUUUGAAAAUUGGGAAUCAAAUUUGGAAAUCGGAAUUUUGAAGAAUUAUUUAAAGAUGAAAUUUUAAAAAUAAAUAAAUAAAUAAAAUAAUAAUAACGAAAAUAAUAAUGAUUAAAUAUAUAAAUGUGAAAAUUGAAAUUUUGGAAAUUAGAAAUUAAAAUUGGAAAUCGAAAUUUUGAGGAACUUAUUUGAGAGUGGAAACUUGGAAAUUACAGUCAAGAAUUGGAAUUUUGAAAAACUAAAAAAAAAACAGAGUUUUUUUUUAUAAAAAAAAAAUAUUUGAAAACUGAAUCUUUGAGAAUUUUAAUUUUGACAUGUGGGAUAAAAAAAUAAAAAGGAUGGGACAUGACCAUUGCAUGCCAAAGGUGGCCAUGCAUGGGGCCUGCCCUAACAACUUUUUCCUUGGAAAACCCCACUUAGAAACCAAUUUAUAAAAUUGCAUGCUAUGUUGACCUAGGAUUACAACAUAUUGAUUGCUUGGAAAUGAACUAUUGCAGAUGGAUUUUUGCCGCAUUGCCCGAACCUUAGUUUGCAACAUAAAAACCCAUAAACCUCCACCAUUCCAUAUCCCACCGAAUGUACAUUUCAUGUGAGUACAUGUUGAUUAACUUUGAGAGCCCUAGAAGCCAUCUUCCUGCACCUUUCCAUGUUUGAGCUGCCUGGGGUGAGCUGAUGCUUCAUAAGUCACUCCUCCAUAUGUGCAAGUCCCAUGAAAAUCACCCAACAUAUGCUUGAAUCUGGUUUUGUCUGCACAAAGGGCUCGAGAUCUUUUCCAACGUGGAUGAGAUUCAAGUCGCUACCGAAGCCGAAAAUGUGAACACGGUUGCCAGAAUUGCCCGCAUCGAAAAUGACUGCAUAGGUCUUGGAUUGGGAGAGAGGACAGGAAGAAUAGGGCAAAGUACUGGUAGUGCUGAAGAACCGAAGCUGAGUGGCAUCCAGGGAGUGGUCAAAGUGACUAGUUUUUGGUAAGUACAAAGGAUGAGUUGGCGGGUAGAACAUGAAGGAUGUUUGGCAUGGGAUUUGGGUUUUCGGUGGAGAAUGAACUUUAUGGGAAUGCUAGGGAAUCAUGCGCAUGAACUGCAUACACGUGGGAGAAUAGAAAUUGAAUGAGUGGGGAAUAAAUGGAAUGAGUGAUGGAAGAAAUGGGUUUAUAGGGAUAGGUGUUGAAUGGAGCUAUGGGUAGUGAGAGAAAUGUGUAUGAUGGGUGGGAGGUGUGAGAGAAAUAAGUCUAAUGGGUAUUUGAAAAAUGGAAAUGCAUGAGGGUAUGGAGGAUGGCCAUGUAUACAUGCUUCCUAUGCAUGUGGGUAGGUAAGGAUUUGGGAUUUUAAUGGAAGCUUUGGAGGGAGUUUGGGUGGCCAUGCAUGGUGUAGGGAAUGGGUAGCGAAGGAAGUGGGUUUACAGGGUAUUGAAGGAAAUGGGUUUGGCGGUUGAAUGGAAAGUGGAGAUGUGGAGCGUGGUGACGGAUAUGAUGAUGGGGAUGAUGGAGUGUGAAAGUUAAAAGAUGGAAAUGUGGGUAUGAAUAUUGAAAGAUGGAGAUAUGGGUAUGGCGGGUUUGGGAAGAUGUGAAGGAUGAUGAGAGAUAAAUUGUGGGUGAAGAGUAUGAAGAAUGGAGAGAUGAAGGUGGCUUCAACAGGAAAUGCAUUUUUGUUACUGAAAUGGCAUUCACCUUCUGGAUAUAAGUGGCUCCAAUCACGAGAACCAAAAGGAACCACCAACAAAGUGAGCAGUGAAGUUUCCCAACAAUACCCAACGGAGUGGUGUGUAUAUCAGCAACAGAAAGCAUGCAAACCAGAAACCCAUAAAGCCACCAUGCAUCUCCUAUUAUUCAUAACCAAAUCUCGAGGAGCACUUUUGAUUUUGUUCCUCCUCUGUUUGCUUGUUCCCCUUGCCUCUCUAUAAAACUCACAACCCACAAUCUCAUUCUGCCCAACUCACUUUAAUCUUUUAGAAAGAAUGCUCAUCUUCCAUUACAAGCUAGAAACAGGGGAAAUAGCAAGAACAGAGCACCAAAAGUAGGAAUAAAAUAAACCCAUACAAGCCACAUUUCAUGUUUCAAUCAACGAGCUUAGAUGUAGGGGGUGGGCCAAAAUAGAUCUCAAAUGAAUUUUAAAAAAAUAAAUAAAUAAGGAACAAGUUAUGAAUGCCAAUAUCUCAUAUAAAAUCUCAAAAAUAGAGGCUAGAAAAUAGGAUAAAAAUCAAGCAUAAGGUGAGUGCAAGCAAGCUCAGAUUCCAUAAAAAUAAACAAGAGUCCCCGAUAAGCACAUUCAAACAUCAAAAUAGAAUCUCAUAAUACCUAGGAAACACAAUAAAAUGGCAUGAACAUGAAAAAAUCAACAGCUUAUCGAAAUAAUACCUAUGUCACCCUCUUUCAAGACAAUUCCUCUGUGUGUUUCCUCCUUUCUCUGACCAGCCUACGCUCUCCUUUCCAAGAAAAAUCCAACUGAUUUCCCUUUGCCCAAGCAAUCUCACUCCUCUGGUGACCAUACUGCAGCUCCCUCUCCUUGCUAAAAAAAAAAGUCUUGCAACUCUCUAUAUCUUUCUUGUUCUCUCUCACUCCCGUUUUCCCUCAAGUUCCCUUGUUCCUUUCAAAUAGCUCACCUCUUCUUUUCCUCAAACUGUCUCUAAUUUUUUUUUUUGACACUAGUCAACAACUGCUUCCUAAAAUCUCUCGUCUCUCAACUCUUUUUUUUUCGUAAUCCUUCAGACCUCCUAUAUUUUUCUCUCCAACUCUCCAAAAAUCUCCACUUCCCUUUAUAUUUUCUUUUGAGUAAAAAAAAAAAAAAAAUACACCUCACCUACCCCUCUCUCAAACUCCCUCACGUCUCAAUCCCCCUAAAUCAGCCAACCCACCCAACUUUCUUUUCAUGCAAGCCUCUACCAGCUCCCUGCUCAAAUCAAAUCAUCAUUUGAAGCUUCAACCACCACCAUGGUGAGGUGGUCACAUCCAAGGCAAUGUGUCCCAUGUAGCUGAGCAUGGAAGCCGUCCCCCACUUCUCGAAAAAAAUAAAAAUAUUAGCUCCUCCUGGGUAUUCCUCAAAGGUGGUGGGAAAAGCUAAAAUAAAAAAGGGGGUUUACAAAUAUAUAGUUAAAAAAAUUCAUGAUACCAUUUGUAAUAGUCUGCUCAUAACCAUAUAAAUAUCCAAUGGACACUCAUAGCUUUAAAACACAUCUAUAUAGUUAAAAAAAAAUUUAUACAUGUAUAGUCGUAAAAGUAAUUUUCCCUAUUCAAUGUGGGAUAUAAGGAAAUAGUUACAUAAACAAGUUAGACUAGGCUGAGGUCAAUCAUCACUAGCUAAGCUAAGACAAGCCUUUGUUCCGUGCUAGAGAUUGGGUUCAAAGUACUAUCUAAAAUUUUAAAAUUUUUUCAAAUGACUUUUAAAGACCUAAUGUAAAUUUAUACAUUUGGUAUAAGAUAUUUUAUUUUUUAUAUGAAAUUUACUAAUAUAUUUCAAUUUUAAAAAUAAAAAAUUUAAAAUAGAAAAAAAAAAAAAGAGUUGAGAAUAUGUGGAUAAUUAUUUUGUGUUUCCAUUUUCUUGAAAAAUGAGUUCAAAAAUGGAAAAAAAAAAAUGAAAACACCAAUAUAUUAUUUUCAAAUUUUUCUUAAAAGAAAAUGGAAAUAGUUUUUAAAAAGAAAAAAAAAAUGAAUAAAAUAAUUUAAAACACCAAUAGUAUUUCAAUAUUAUACUCUUUUUCCUUUUUUUAUAAAUAAUAUUACAUCUUCUAUUUUUGAAAGUAAUUUAUUUUAAUAAAACAAAAUAUGUGCAAUUUAUCAAUUCUUUUGUUAACUAUAAUACAUUAAAAUAUUAAAAUCUUCCAUUACACCCCUAAAACAAAAUUUUCUAUUACACUAUUAAAAUAACUAAUAAGGUAAAUAAAGUAAUAAUAAUAAUAAUAAACAAAUACAAUUUAAUUAUUUAAUUAUUUUUCAUGUAAAAAAAAUUAGUAUCAAACAAGAGAUAUAAUUGGUCAAUUCCUUUGUUGAUAAUAAACUCAUUAUAAUUUUUUAUUGUACUAUUAAUAACUAAUAAAAAAAAAAAAGUAGUCAACAAAUGCAAUUUGAUUAUUUUUACUAUUUUUCAUGUAAAAAAAAUUAAAACCAAAUAAGUUUCCCUUUUCACUUUUUUUUAACCAAAUGUAUUUUCAAGAAAAGAAAACAUAGAAAAUGGAAACCAUUUUCAAAAAAUGAAAGCUAAAAAUCGUUUUCCAAACCAAAUCCAACCUAGGGGCAUUUUUUUUUACCUUCCAUGACCAAGCCCUUAACUCCAAGGGACCCAAACCUCAUGGUGUUGAUCAUCCCACAACAACCAAUAUCGAAUAAAUUCAAGAUAUCUUCACUAGCAAAAUUCAAACCCAAUACCAUAUGUCACUUACUGAAACCGCACUUCCCAAUGUUCGCUUUGACCAACUAGACUACCUUAAUAGAUCAACCUAAGAACUUGUAUGGUAACUGUUUUUAAAAACAAUUAUGAACAACAGUUUUUAAAAACUGUUUUAUGAUGUUCUAUAGAACAAAAUCCUGUUUAGAAGCUAAAAUGUUUUUAACCUAUUUUUAAUAUUUUAAAAAUAAUUUUUAUGUCUAGUAUUUUAUUUUUAAUCAUUUUACAUAUUUAUAUAAUUAUUUUUUAAAUCAACUCUUAGAAAACAAGUUAAAAUAGCAUAAAACAAUUUAAAUAUAUUCCCUAAAAACACCAUGUUUUUUUAUUCUUAAGAACAAAAAAUAAAAAACAACUUUUGAUUGUCAAACAUGCUUUCCUAAUUUUUUUUGUUUUGAAGAACUAAAAACUAUUCGCCAAACAGACCCAAAAUUUUCCACUUUUUACCAAGUUCAAUGUCAUCCCAUUCCUAAUAUUUGUGAAUUUUUUAGGGUCUCAAUAACCAGGUCGGGCCUUGACCCAAAAUUUUGAAAGAGACUCGGGCUGGGCUUCAGCCCAAAUGCACAAAACAAGAAACGCUUACAAGAAAAAUCCUUGAACAUACAUCUCGAAGCUCUAUUCUUCAAAAUAGAAAGUGGAAACUCAUCCAAACAUCUAAACCGAUUAGUCACGGAAGGAAAAGAAAAGUAAUAGGUCUUUUAUUUCGUUGCCACUGUGGAUAAUUAUUAGGAUGACACCCUUGUCAUUCCAUUUUCAAUUUUCCUUCAUAUGCGCUGGUGGGUCUGGCUGUAAAUCAUUAGAAAAUACCCAACACCUAUAAUCAUUAUUACACACUAUUAACAUAUAAGGGGGCUGUUGGUCCAGAUUUACCCCAAGGGCCACACACACAAAUAAGAGAAAGGGGAAGCGCAAGUAGGGAAAUAGGUUUAUUCACAAGAGUAGUGUUAUUAACCUCUUAUCAAAUUUUACAGCUCUGGCUCCGGCUCCGGCUCCGGCUCCGGCUCCAAUCUCAUUUCAACGUCAUCUGAUUGCUCCCAUCAUAUUUGCACCAUUGAGCUUUGCGCCUUCCAUAGAUUGCUAGCAACAAAAUCACACAAAUUACACCUCCAACUCCAGUUAGUUACCUACUAUCAUCAUCCUCACAAUGGAAACAUAGAUUUAGAGCCUCUUUGGAAAUUAUUCUUCAAAACAUAUGCGUGUUCUGUGGAACAUAAAACAGUUUUCUCACUUAAAAUAUUACAAAUCCCUCAAAGAAAACAGUGUCGUAAGAAUUUGAUCCGAAAAUAAGUUAGUUUUCUCACUUUAGUCAUUCUUUCUUCAAUUUUAAGAAAGGAAAUGCAAUAAAGGCACAUGUAAAAAUUGUUGAAUUGGCUCAUAUAUCGGACAGAACUGGUAAGCUUGAUCUAAAGGGAAAACUGAGGAAAAAAAUGACAGUAAGUAAAGAAAAUAAAUUAUUCUACUAUUAAAGCAAAGAAAAAAUGGUUUAAAAGCACAAGAAAUGAUUCAUAAUUUUCCCAAAGGAUCCAUAAUGAGAAAAAGAAUGACGGAUCAUGCUAACAAUGCAUUCAUCAUUUCAGCCUAAUUAAGAGACGCAAAGAAGAUAACCAAAGAAGACGAGAAAUUAGCAAUGGCCUGGUUUGAAAGAUUUAUAAGAUCCAUUCCAAAGAUGGGAUAUCUCCAGUGUCAAAAUGAUCACAUAGUGUUUUAAAUACUGAAAGAGGUAUGAUCACAAUUCUUAUUAUCAAUGUAGAUGAUGUCAUUGUAACCGGGAAGAUUUCACUAAAAUAGGAAGACUAAAGGGAUCUAUUGCUAAAGAAUUUAAUAUUAUAGAGUUGGGGGAAUCUGAGAUAUUUUCUUGAUAUAGAGGUUGCAAGGUCAAACCAUAGGAUCUUUCUGUUACAAAGAAAGUAUGUUAUGGACCUAAAAAAGGAGACUAGUAUGUUGGAAUGAGACCAGGGGACACACCCUAUCACAAAUCACAACACACCAAUCAAACAAGGAGAGCUAUCAGAGAUUGGUAGGCAAGUUGACCUAUCUAUCACAAUAGAGGUUUCAAACCUGAUUUAUUCUUAUUCCUCUUUUUGAGCCUCUACUACCAUAGCUUUUAAGGAUACUCCUCUUAGUGUUCUACAACUUGAUUGAAACUUAGUAUAUAGAUCGAAAUAUUACAAAGGAAUUGCGGACUCCACCUUUGGUGGGAUCAUUUAAGUUAAAUUUUGAUGGAUGUGUUUUGGGUAAAACAGGUCUGAAGUGGAAGGAUGAUCAGAGACCCUAGUGGUUCAGUAGUGAGAGCAUUCUCAAAACCAGCUGGAGAAGAAUUUAGCAUCAAGAUAGAGAUUUUAGUUCUUUUAGAGGGUUUGGUACAUGAUAGGGCUCUUUGUCUUGUCUUUCGAACUUACAGGUGGAAGGGGAUUAUUCUAUUUUGAUAUCUUGGGUGUCUAAAUCAUAUUGGGGGCUUGGAGGUAUGAUGGAUGGCUUAAUCGAAUUCUAGGUGUUGCUCAUGACUUGGGUAAGUUCUUUCUCUGGGAAUCUUCAUUCACCUAAUAAUGUUGCCUAUCUUUCGGCAAAGACAGGAGCCAAGCAUUGGGCAUCUUUUUUAGGAGACUUUUUACCUCCUUGGGAAGUGUACAGUUGCUCUAACUUCUACAAGUUCAUGUCAUAUUCUUGUGAAGUAUAGUUGUACUCUUAUUUCUUUUCAGAAGUUCACUCUAUUUCCUUCUUUGAUCAGCCUUGUAUAUUUUCGAAGGAUUUCCCAUCAUUCAUUUGUACUCAAAAAUUCAGAUCAAUGAACUAGUUUGUUUCUGAUCAAAUAUAAAAAAGAAUAAUAAUUUUAUUAUAUGGAACAUUAUGAAUUCUUCUUUUUUUCCUUUCUUUCUUUUUUCAAUCAAUGCAUCUUUCAGCAUUUGACAAAGUUCCAUUUAAUCAUUUUUCCAGAAACUUUCAAAGACAAUUAUUUUUUGUCAACUUGCAGCCAUCAACAUCAACAUACCCAUCUUCCGGUCAAUUUUAGGAUCCUGACAUAUCCAUCAAUGCUUUUCUGGUGGACAACUAAUUCAUAAUGGAAGACACAGGAUACCAAGAGGAACCAGAAAAAGGCCACAAUAUAUAUACAUAUAUAACAAGGGGCAGCAAGGAUGAUUUUCAUGAUUUGGUCACUCGCAAGGGAUAAGGAUGAAAGCACUGAGCUAAGUGGCACAUGUAUUACGUCCUAAACUGAUGGAAUUUAACGGAAAUGAUUUAAACCCUCACUAAGUAAUGGAUUUACAGUCCUAGCGGAUUCAAAUAUCCUAAUGAUAAUAGGAGGACCCACAAAAAGAACUCACUCAAACAGGAUGAAACUCCUUAAAGAGGAUUUAUGCACUUUCAACUUAUAGAUCUCAAAGACAUUGAAGGAGCAUAUAAAGUGUAGAUACCUGAUCCCUGGACGACUAUUUAUGCACUUUCAACUCAUUAAUCUUAAAGGCAUUAUAGGAGCAUAUCUGAUGCUAGAACAAAUAGGGAGGACAUUUUUCCAUCUUCAGGCAUGUAAAAUAUUGAAAGGAUAACAGCAUUAAGAUAAAAAUUCUUAAACUUAAUAUGCAUCUGUUUUACUUACUGCAUCACGAAGAUUGACCUGCCGUAGGUAAGCUCGUUGAAGGUUUGCACCCUUCAAAUUGGCCUUACUCAACUUUGCACCCUGAAAAACAUACAAGUGUUCCAAAAAAGUAAGCUUACGUUGCAAUAAACCCAAAGAAAUCAAUUUUAACCUUGAUCGCACCAAUUUUUUUUUUUUUUUUUUGAUAGACUUGAUCACACCAAAUAUAAUUGUACACAAAACAAAAGAAUAAAUUAAAAUAGGAUUAAUAAAUGGGAAUGCUACAUUUUCUUUAAUUAACCCUCUUAUCUUCUGUUAAAUGUCUCAAAGGCCUACAUGAGGUCAGCCAAACAGCUACACAUCUAAUCAAUCAAAACUUCUAAAAUUAUUGCCUAAAAAACCCCAUUUUGAUCUUUCCAUCCAAGUUCUUCCCCACUUUGAUUUCCUUCUUAGCAUUUGACUGUUCUUUCUGUCUCUAACUAUUUUCAUUACUUAUCACAUCAAAUCAAACCAUCAGGACUAAUGCAUCUAUCCAGUAUAUUCCCCACUCGAAAAGGGCAAAAGUGGAAGGCCUAGCCAGUCAUAACUGUCUGGUCUCCAUAAGCGCCAUGUUUUUCACAGGAAACACGUGCACACACAAAAUACACACUCAUUAAUCUUCUUUGUCCAAGUUUUUUCUUCCAGUAGCCCUUGGAUGUUCUUGCUACAUUCAGAACUCAAACGCACACACAGAACAGAAAUUUUGAUUCCUUCCAUUCUCUUUUCCUUUCAAGUCAAUAAUAAUAUAGAUAAAUAAAUAAAUAAAGAUGAGGAAGAAGAAGAAGAAAAAAGAAAGGAUUAAAAAAAAACCCCACCAGCCACUAGUUUUGUUGCAAUGACCAAAAAGGACAUUCUUUUGAUAACCAAAUCUUUUCUCCAUUCACUUUUCUCUUAAGUUUGCUUACACCACCACUUCCAGGAGAGAGAGAUGAGCUUGUGAUUGCAAACCCUCCCAACACCCCUAUUCCUGCUCACCUCAAAUAUAUCUUACUUUGGGUUACAAACUAGAAGGGCUUCAUUCUUGCAAUAUCAUAGAUUCUAGAUAGUAAUAUAAUUCCUUUUGUUCUUCAUCUUAAAUGUAUCAUGCUUGAUUGUCUGUCUUGCUUCCAAUUUUUUGCUUCCCAAUGCAAUUGAGCCCUUUUUCACCUCAAGUUAAAACAAAGAAAAAUAUAAAGAGAUGAAAACUUAGCCAAAGAAAAAUAUAAAACUCUUUUUUGCUUGUGGCUAAUAAGGGGUUUAAUACCAAUGUCAUAUAGAAAUCAAAUGUUUCACCUUAAGUUAGAGCCUUCUCUUGACUAAUAGCUAAUAUGAGGGUCAACACAACUUUGUCACAAUGGAACUCUUAGACUUGAGUGGUGUGAUAUGUGUUUGGGCAAGUAUUGGAUAGUAGGACACCCAUUCUUUCAUUGCCCAGUAGCAAGGGGGUUAUGGGAUUAGACCAUUCAGACUUGCUAUGAUGGGGGAAAGCCUUUUAAAGUUUAUUCAAGGAAGAAAGGGAAGACCUAAGUAAACUUUAAGUAGGAUUAAUAUUAAUUAGAAUUGAAUUGGGAUUGGUAUUUGUUGGAGUCUAAUUAGGAUUAGUUAGUUGAGUUAUAAUACAAUUAGAAUUUGAGUCAUGAUAGGUUAUUAGAGUCCUAGUAGACUUUGGGUUUCUUAGAGAAGCCUAUAAAUAGGCUAAUCAAUGUAAAUCAAAGGGAUAAUUUGAUAUGAAUAAUAUUAUAUUUUCUUUCAUUGCAAGGUUGUAACCCUCAAUGGUGAGAUUCCAUUGAUUUCUUCUAGGUGAGACUCCUAGAAGGCCUUAGUGAGACUCUUAAGGUUUUCCAUCUUUUCUUCAUUGUUUCUUCUUUUCUCUCUAUUUCUUAUCUUAUAAUUUUCUCUACCAUAAAAUUUAUUCCUUGUUCCUCUCCUUAUGCCCUAAAAAUAAAACCCUAGUCCACCUACCCUUGAGUGUAGGCAACCAUCCUAGGUUUGUCCUACAUCAUGCUAGCAUGGAUUGGGUACCUCCUACAGAGCCUGCUGAUAUGUUGGAUAUUGUUUUCCACAGGUUUGGAGACAACCUUAGUAGUAGGGUACUUUACUGUGGUUGCACUUGCUUUAGCUUGGGUGAUCUGGAUAGAAAGGAGUGCCAAGAUUUUCAAGAAUAGAUGGAGGAUUAUGGAGUCAGUUUGGGAUGCAGUGUUUAUCUUUUCUUAUCUAUGGGUGUUCAUUUUGUUAGAGUUCUUAAUGAAUCGUGCCAAGUGGAAUUUUGAUGCAUUGAAGAGUUUCUAGUUGUAAAAGAAAUACAAUAGUACAAUUCUAAGUGGUUUCCUCUUCUGAUGAGUUGCCUGAACUUUGACUUUGAUGGUUUUCACUAGGUAAUCUAAUAUAAAUAAGCAUCAUAACAGUUUUCCAUGAUCUUGAGGGAGGAGUGGUUAUAGUUUUUCCUAAGCCAAAUGGGGUAGGGCUGCACUAGAGGCUGGAUUACUAAUCGUACUAGGAGGAUUGACACAAGCAGAUAUUUUGGUCCUCAACAGCUUCUUGGUGGGAGGCAAUUCAGCAACAGUUAUAUCCUGAGUUCUAAGUGAAAGAGGUCCAUGGAAGUUGAAUCAUUGUCGUGCAAGAUAUCAUAUAAAUUCAGGAGUCAGGGUGUUCUUUUUAGUUGAUUCUAUGCCUAGACAACCAUCCAUGGCUCAAAGUCAUAGUAUCUUGGUUGUUCACUCAACAAUUUUUAAUAAUUGAUGUAUCUUGAAAAUAAAAGAUGAAAAUAAUAAAUAAAAAAAUGUGAUUAAUAAAAAGUCAAUAAUUGUUUGAAAAUAAAUCAUUUUGAAUUUCUUGUUCGUACUCAUGCACUGAGGCAUUUUUAACUUAAUUGAUGAAUGGAAUCUCUCUCGUUUUCAUGGGAUCCAGGUCUUAGUGUUCCAACUCCAUGUCAUCUCAUGAGUUAGCCAAGUGAUUUAUAAUAGGUAAAGAUAGGUAUGUAUAAAUUAAUAGUAUAAAAAAAUACAUAAAAAUACAUGGAUCACCUAAAAGAGAGGCCUCGAAAGAGGAGUCACAAAAACCCACCCUAACUCUCUACAAGAACCCACCCAAUCUAAAAAUCAAUCAAAAGCCUUCUCUUAUGUACAUGCUAACCCAAGAUGAAAUAUUACAAAGGAAUGAAUGUUUUAACUUUUGAUCAGUCUAUUCCUUAUUUUCAGAAGCUCUUCGAUUUCAUUCCUGACAAAUUGUCCAAAAAAGGCGAAGAGGAACAGCUCUCCACACUUGCUCUCCACACUAUCUUGCUUUUCUUCCCUACAAAGGAGUCAUUCCAACUUAACAAGGUAUCUUUCACCGAAGAAGGGAUCACCCAAACUACAUUGAAUAAUGGGAACAACAAUUGCCAUAGAAUCCUUACUUUGGUACAGUGAAGUAGAAUAUAAUUAACAGACUCCCCCACAAGUUCACAAAAAUAAUAUUUAUUCAUUCAUAGUCAUCUUCUUUUCUGGAGCUAAUAUGAAGUCAGAACUUUUCCCUAACUAGCUUCCCAAGAAAAAAAACUCACUUUGGAUGAGACCAACAGAAUUCAAAUAAUGUUCAUUGGAAAGGAGAUUGACCUCCCAAGUUCCAAGAUCGAAUAGAAAGAUUUGACUAAAACUAAAAGCAAGCCCUUUUUAGUAUCCUUCUAUAUCACCCUACCAUUUUCUUCUUUCCUAACCGACUUCACUAGCAAUGUUGAGAAAAAGUUUGGACAGCAUCAACUCCCAAUUGUUAAAGUACCUAGAAAAGCACAUAUUCCAAUUAGCCCCUGCUCCUAAAUCUUUCCAUAAAUUCACCACACAAGCCUCCUUUGACAAAGCCAAUGCAUACAAGGAGGUAACACACCACUUAUCCUUCCAAAGCUUAACCCCCAACCAUUACCCACUUUAGAGAAGGUUCUCCUAAAGAAAAGAUCCCACCCAUUCCUUAAAGCUGUCCAAACACCAACCCUGUAACCGUAUCACACUUCACAAGAGUGUCAACCAGCUUCUUCCUUCCCAUAUCUCCCCUCUAUAAUCUACUUCCAAAAAACUUCCCCAUUCAGAAACAUAUCUCCAACCCCACUCACCGAGGAGGACCCGAUUCACAAAAGAGAGACUUCUAAUACCUAAACCCCCUUUACUCCUAUAUGAGGAAACAACCGACCAACCAACCAAUCCAGGAUUUUUGUUCGAAGUCUCACCUCCUCAAAGAAAAUCCCUUUGAAUCUUAUCUAACCUUUUCUCUAACCUUAGUUUGACCUUUCUUGGGAUUACAAACAAUGACAUGUACUAGAUUGGCAAGCUAGACAAUGUACUUCUAAUCAAUGCAAGUCUCCCCAUUUUAGAAAUAUAUUGUAUUUUCUACAUCAACAACCAUCUACAAAACCUCUCUUCCACUAAGUCCCAUUCUGCUACCAAUCUGAAAGGGGCACCCAUAGGCAGACCUAGGUACGUAUAUGGAAUCCCUCUCACCUUGUAGCCCAAUUGCAUUGCUAAAUCUUCUGCAUCUGCAUCCCCUCCAAUUGGAAUCAAUUUAUUAUGAAACCAAGUUAUUGUUGAACCACACAAUACUUGACUUGUGUCUCAGAUAGGGCCAAAUACCUCAAGAUAGAGCAUUGCAUCUUUAACGAAACCUAAAAACUUAAAUGUGUAUGAUUAUGCAAGUUAGGCAUGGUUUAUUUGUACACAAACUUAGGAAGUUCUCUCAAGGCAUGGUCCCAUUAAAUAAACUUUGCAAGUACAUUAUCCAGGAUCUUAUAAUAAAUGAGAAGGAAACUAAGCUGCUAAGUUUGAACCAAGAUAUCAAGAACUAGAAAAUUUUAUUAUUAUAAAAUAAUAAAAUAAUAAAAUAAAAAUUCCAAACAAAAGACCGCAAUCAUCAAAAAGGGACCUUAGAUUACAAAAUAUUGAUACGAUAAAAGGGAGAAACAAAUUAAUGCACUAAAAACCAUUCUCUAAUUGUCCUUAAAACUCAAAAUAUUUGCCAGUACAAGAUCAUUAGAAGCAAAUCAAUUUACAUGAAGGAUAAUCUGAUUGGCACUCUUACCUUCAAAUCCAACAUCUGGCUUGUUAAUGAUUCUUUAAGUUUAUUAAAAGAUAAUAUUCUAUAGUUGCCAAAAUCAAUAUAGACUUCCAGAUUCCUUAGCUAUUAUUCCUUUUUUUAAGUUAGGAUUCAGGAUAUUGAUAACAAAAUGUUAGAGGUUCAACCCAAGUAUGUGGAAAGAAUACGAGUUACACAAAAGAGAAGAAAUUGCUCAAGAGAAAAAAUUAAAUAAAAAUAACAAUAACAAUUGAAAAAACUCAAGCCAAGAGAAAUCCAUAUUGUCAAUAGACUCCAAAAUAAAGGUCCUUUUCAGCAAUAGGCUUAACCAUCCACACACAGAAUGAUUGCAAGUUGUGCAACCCAAUUUCUUUAUGUAGUACUUCACCCCCAAUCCCAAAAGUUCUUCUAUUGUAUGAUUUUCCAAAUACACUAACCAAAUAUAUCCUUUAGCAACGAUACUGAUGCACAACCACAAUGCUAAGAAGCUUUACCUUUAGAUUUGCUCCUUCCAGAUUAGCUCCUUCUAAGUUGGCAUUGGUAAGAUCAGCAGUCUGAAAAAUUAAGGGCAAACCAAUUAAUACAUCCUGACAACCCUCAAGCAUUCUAGUCAACCAAUUUUCUUCACAAGGUUUGGUAGGGAACAUACUUGAUGUAAGUAAUUUCACUAGAAAAAGUAUGGAGCAAGUCCAUAUCUUAAAAUGUUCAUCUCCCCAAUGAUCAAUACCUUGAAACUUUUAACAUAUUUUUUGAUAGGAUGAAACUUUAACAUAUUCACUUUUAGAAGAUCGAAAAAAGUUUAUGAUUGAUCACAAUUUCUAAGAAACAUUUAUUUUUUAAACUUUCAAGCUUUUUUAUGGUCCUUUCACCUUUUUUUUUAUAGGAAACCACGCAUGAAUAUAUUGAUAAGAUAAAAUAGUACAUAAGGAGGAUGAGAAGUCCUCCCGCCAGAAUUAAAACUAAACAACACAAGAAAAUAACAUGACACAACACCGUCUCAUUGGAACUACACAGUGCUAGCCAAUCUAGUUGUAAAACGUUAAGGGGAAUGCCCUUAAAACCCGCUGAGCAAAAAGCCCAAAACGAAGUGAUGAAAUGAAUGGAGUCCCAAAGAUUCUCUGAAUUUCUAGCUUUGUCCUCAAAUAUCCUAGCAUUUCUUUCCCUCCACACAACCCAAAUUAAAGCUCUCCUUUUACCUUUUUGCUUGGGAUGGUUUUUUAUGUAUGGAAUUUAGAAUUUCAGAUCUAUUUUUUGAGGCAUUAUUGCUAUGUCGUUAAUUACUUAAUUUGGUAUAUCAUAUGCCGGUGUGUUUGAAUUUGGAUAUAUUUUAAUCAUGUGAUAAAUCUUUGCAUGCUAAACUCCAUAUAGUUGCAUCACUGCAUUAUUCUAAAUUUGCAAUUUUAAGGAACAAGUUUGCCAACUCUGUAUAAACUGCAUGUUAGAUUCUAUAAAAUUUGUGCUAAUACAUUGGUUGCACUUUGCUUUAUCCUUGGGUUGUUCCUUGAGCCCAGGCUCAAGGACAGCUCUGCACGCACCUUGCACUUGUAAUACUUAUGGGUUACUGCAUUCCUUCCUGCAUGCUCCAACACAACAUAUGGCAACAAACAGGGCAGCUUCAGAAAAAUCUCGUUCUUUCCUACAUUCUCAGUUCUUCUAUAUUUUCUUUUUUUCCUUUUUCUCUUCAAUUCUUAACAAAAUUAUAUAUAUCCAAAAGAAUACAAUUCCACCACUCUAAAAAAAAUGAUAAAAAGAACCAAUAACUGAUUUUUAUAACAUCAUAAUUGCCUUUUUAGAAUGUUUCUAUCUCAUUUUGAAAUCUUAAAAAAGAUGGCUGAACAAAUGAUUUGACAGAAAAUAUCUUCUGAUGGUGAAAGAAAACAUAAAAGCUUAAUUUAUAUAGAAAUUAUUGGCAUAUUUAAGAAUAUUUAACAGCCAAACCUUAUGCAAUUCAGUCGUUCACCAACAUGUUAGCAUGCAAAACUUGCACAUCUCAUUAUUUGCAUGUUCUUUCAAGUUUCUUAUUUCUUUAACAUGUAUUAUUUAUUUCAGUUUAUAACUGCUGCAUCAACCAAUAACAAUUUGUUUCACUGACUCUGCCAUCAAUACCAAGUUAGACUAGGGCCAAGCAAUAAUAAAAGUUGAAAUAUAGCAGGUUUCAGUCUAAUGACUAUGGCUGAGUUAGGUCAAGACUCGAGCAAAACAUAGAAAUACAUGCUGGGUACAAGAAAACUCUAGCCCACAUAUGCAGUUAUUUGACACCAUCCCCUACUACAUAAACCAUAUUUUCCAGCUCAUAAAUGGAUAUUCCGUAAAACAAGCAAGAAGCCCACAAAAUUCUGAAAAUGGGGAAACUACAUGUCCUUAAGACUUUAAAGAGUAUAAACCUGUAAGUGUGCAGAACGCAAGUCAGCCCCACAGAAGCUACAAUCAACCAAACAAGCAUCUGCAAGUAAAAAGGAAAUCUGAAUUCAAAUGCAUUUUUUACAUGAAAAAUGUCAGACUAAGUAAAUAAACAAAAACUGUAGCUCACAACAAGUGGUACAGCUUGAAGAACCUGAAACACUCGAUCAUCCUUGGAAAUAGAAGGCAAAAGAGACUGAAACUAGACAAUUGGAGUCGAUAUCCAACACAGGAUUUCCCACUUGAUAUCCAAAUGAACAAUAUAAUAUGUAAAAAUUUAAUGGCAGUAUGUUAAGUUCACAUAUGGUAUGGUUUCUUCAUUCUUGCUUCCAUAAGGUCCCUAUUAGUAAACUAAAGGAAAUAAUCAUCAGGUUUAUAGAAGUUCACCAGUAGUACCUCAACCCAACCUUAGGCUCUUGGGUAAAUUAAUAAUCCUGUCUUAAUAUUAGUUUAAUAAAUUAAUCACAGCAACAUGCCUAAUUAAAAUUAUAGUUAGUUUAUUAGGAAUUACAGACACAGGUUGUUAAUUAAUUAAGGAGCAUUACUUAAUUAGAGUAAAACCUUUCGGAAAAUUCCUAUGCUAUGACCUAGAAGAGGUAGGGAGGUUUUAGGGGAAAUUAGAAGGUUCUGCAGAUAAAUAAGCAAACCCUAAAAGACUACAGGUUCCAUGGGCUUCUGUUCUGAAAAACAAAUCCGUGUUUAAGAGCUGCAGAGAGAAGGGAGAAGGAAGAAGGAAGAAGGAAGAAUGAAGAAUUUUUCUUGGUGGUUUUGGAGAUCUGAGGUAAGAGAUCAAGACUUUGUGUUUUCAUAUUUUUGGAAACCUCCUGCUCUAGUAUUUAGAGAGUAUAAAUCUUUAAUUUUUUUUCAAUAAAAAAUUAUACAUUUGAUUACAAUGAAACAAUUAGGUACAGAAAAAAGGAUGAGAAAUCUUUUCCCUUGUAAGAACCUUGCAUCAACCUGACAAAAAGUAACACGACUGUUACAACUAUAAGAUCAAUUCCUCACGGACGUAGAAAAUCCCCUACAAAAAAGAUCAAAAGUUUGGUUCCCCACUUUGCCAAUGAAUCUGCACUUGAUUAGUUAAUCGAGGAAUCCAACAAAAGAAACACCCUAAUGCUCAGGCAAUAUGAAAAAAUUGGAAAAGCCUCCCAUCCAACUCCAUGAACCUUUUCUUCCUUAUUCAUCCACAAUAUAAAUAUCGUCAAAUCUCUCUCUGGCCUCUGCUAGAAGAUUGCAGAGACCCUCGGCUUGAACUAGCUUCAAGUCUUCUAACAAGGCUAAAGUCUUGCCUCAAUGGCUAGCCUCUCUCCAGCAUCUUUCAAGAAUCCCUGUACUAGUGUUUUAAGAUUAUUCCUAGUUAUUCUGGAUUUUACCUAAAGAACACCCAUCAAUAUUUAGUUUAACAACAACAAAUAGAGAAAGAGUCUAAAUUGGGAGUGUCUUCUUUGACAGCCUAGUAGACGUAGAUCUGCACACUAUGUUCCAAUCUAGCAAUAUAAUGAUCAAAAGAGUGCCCUCAAACAUUACACAAGCUAAUGCACAUAGGGAUGAUGAUAAAUAGAAUAAAUCCCAUGCAAAGGCCUUGACUUUCGAAGGAGUUUUAGAUUUUCAGACGAAAUCUUCAAGAAGAAAGGAACUCAAGUUGGAGGAAAUAGAAAGGGCCUUAAAAAAAGAAUUAACUGAAUACAUAUCCAAAGAUAUCAAGGACCAAACCCUUACAUCAAAGAAAGUAGAUGACAAAUACACAAGAAGUAAAGUCAACAUGAGGUUAGUAAAUUCCUCAAUUUCAUGGUCCAAAAGGUACAGACAGAAAUUAAAUUUCAUGACAUAUAGGAGGAUAAACCUAGAAUCAAAGAAACACAUGUAUCUCUUUCCUCACUAGUCUAAAUGGAUUAAGGAAUUGAACAUAAAGAGGUAGAUUACUGGUGAAACUAAACCUGCAUGCUAAGGUUCAGCCAUUAAGGUAGAAAUUCUAACCCUUUUAGCAGGGUUGUUAGGGUUUUUCCAAUUUUCAAGAAGGUGAUUCUGGUAUUGUCAUAUCAUAGGCAACUAAGAAAGAAAGAGGACCAUAGGAAUUUGUCAGAGUGGUUGCUCCAGAUUAUUGACAUUUCUUCAGCGUUACGAUGUUCCUUUUAUUGGACUCCUUGCUUAGACAAUGAUGGGGCAAAUGCAUUAGCAAAACCUGGAGCUAGACAUAUGGUUUCUUUUGUUGAAGAUUUUGUACCAUUGUGCAUUUUAGUUAGAUUUAACUUUUUGGAUUAGAAUACACUCAUCUGUCUUUUUAUCCUUCUUUGUAUAGAGGAUUAAGUACUUGGAAGAAUUGCUCAUUGCUCAUCCUUCUCUAUACUUGAUGUUUCAUCACAAUGAAAUUGCUAUUUCUUAUCCAAAAAUAAAAAAUAAAAAGGUAGAUUACUCCAUCAAAUAUCUUUCCAAAAUCAAAUUUUUGUACCAUCACCCACUCAAUACCAAGUGAAAUCCCAAAAUACCUGUGCCAAGGCCUUCUAAGGGCAUUGAUGUGACAGCCUAACCACAAUACUGUCAUCCCAUCCAUUAGAGUGUUGCCCAUGAAUAUUCGAGAUGAUCUUGUACCAUUAAUCACUACUUUCCAUAACCUCCACAACCACUUCCUUAAUAGGACUUUAUUCCUCAAAGCCAUCCUCCUUGCUCUCAAGCCCUCUUCACCUUUUGGUUUACACACUUGAUCCCAUCCAUUAGAGUGUUGCCCAUGAAUAUUCAAGAUGAUCUUGUACCAUUAAUCACUACUUUCCAUAACCUCCACAACCGCUUCCUUAAUAGGACUUUAUUCCUCAAAGCCAUCCUCCUUGCUCUCAAGCCCUCUUCACCUUUUGGUUUACACACUUGAUCCCAACUUACAAGAUGAUCUCUCUUUCCUUCCCCCAUACUUGACAAUAAGAAUUCCUUCUAUAACCUCUCAACCCACUAUGCCACUUUAACAAGUGACGUGAAAAUAAAAGGAAAAUAAGAAGUGAUAUGGGACAAGCAUAACUACACCAAAGUUAUUCUACCACCUAACAACAAAUAGGUCUUUUCCAACCAUUUAAGUACCAAGAAACCCCCACCCACGAUCACAUCCCAAAACUAAACAGCUUUAGGAUUCCAUCCCACUCAGAAGAUAUGACAAAGACCAAUCAGAAACCUUGCAUUCUAUGGAGAAAGCCAAUUCCAAGACUAUGUUCUAACCAAUGUUGAUAUCGAACAAGGUACUCUUUUCUAGGUUUAUCCUUAGUCCUGAAAUGCGUCCAAGCACUAACAAAAUUAGUUUCAAACUCUGUAAGUUAUUUAAGCUAGCUCUUGGGAAGAAAAUUUUGUUAUCAGUGAAUUGUACAAGGAUCACCCUCAUCUUACUUCUACCCAACAAGAAGCCCCAAAAAAUACCACACUUCUCCACUCUUAAUAUCAAUUUACCCAGAAUAUCCAACACUAAAUAAAAAGGAGGAAGAGAAUCACUUAAAUCCUUUAAAGCCUUAACCCAUCCUUUAGCACAACCACUUAUUAGUACUGCAAAACUGAUAGACGACAAGCAUCCUCAAAUCCACGAUCUUCAUCUUUUUCUGAAAGGGUAAAACCUUUGCUUUUUAAUGCAUGUUCUAAGAACUUCCAAUCAAGUAAAUCUCUCCUAAAUCUAGGCAUCCAACAACCUCAGUCCCAUCCCUUCACUGGAAGUGGCAAUUACAGCAAAGGGCCCAUCAACUCAUAACCACCAAUCAAAGAAAUUCCUAGUAAACCCAAGCAUACAACACCCCCAGUCCCAUCCCGUCUCCCAACAACCACCUACCAAGAUUUUUUUAUUUUUUAUUUUUUUAUAGGAAACAACAAAUAAAUAUAUUGAAAGAAUAAGAAGUACAAAAGAAGGAUGAGGAAUCCUCCCACCAAAGAUAAAACUAAACAACACAAUAAAAGAACAAGAAACUACACUAUAAAAACUACGAACAAGCUCUCUUGGCUAGACCAUCCCAUUGGAACUACACACUGCUAGCCAAUCUAUUUGUAACACGUUAAGGGGAAUGCCCUUAAAAUCCACGGAACAAUAAGCCUAAAGAGAAGCUAGGAAGUGAACGGAAUCCCAUAGAUUCUUUGAAUUCCUAGCUUUGUCCUCAAAUAUACUUGCAUUUCUUUCCCACCACACAACCCAAAUUAAAGCAAUGCUCGCAUUUUGCCACAAAACUAUCCCUCUUUUGGAAGUGUCAAAACCUUUAUAAUUGAUAGACAUCAUGCCUGAAAUGCUUCUCGGAGGAACCCAAUCCAUCUUGGCUAGCUGAAAUAAUCUGUGCCACAACCCCAUGGACAAGGAACAAUGUAGGAAAAGAUGGUCUGCUGAUUCUUCUUGCUUCAUGCACAACUUACAAAUGACAGAACUAAAAGCUUUGUAAGGUCUUCUCAAUUGUAGCAAAUCAUUAAUAUUUACCUUCUUGUGUGCCACUAACCAAACAAGGGACUUGAGAAUUCCAUACAAACUUAGUAGGAAAACAAGGAGAUAAAUCGGGCACUUGGGACAAGGCUAUAAAGAAAGACUUGACUGUGAACAAUUCUUAAGAAGAUAAAGACCAGGAUCUCGCAUCUGAAGCCAAGGUGGAUAAAUGCAUACAAUCAAGAGAUCGCAUGAGGCAUUCUAGAUCUUCUAUCUCAGAAUCGGAAAGAUUACGACGGAAAUUAAAGUUCCAAGAGAAAGGGUGAGCAGAUCCGAGAAUUGAAGAAAUAAGACUAUUUUUAUCCAUGACUAAUCUAAAUAGUCUUGGAUAUUGGGAUUUCAAAGGCUGGUCCCCCCGCCACAAAUCUUCCCAAAAGCGAAUUAUUUCCCCAUCUCCUACCACAAACCAAGUAUACUUGGAAAAAUCUUAAAAGACUUGUGCAAUAGUCUUCCAAGGACAACGAUGUGACCAUCUGACUAAAGUGUUGGCAUCCCAACCAUUAGAAUCUGUCUCAUAAAUGCUCAAAAUGACCUGAUGCCAUAGAGUUGUACUCUCCCUAGGGUACCUCCACAACCACUUCCCUAAAAGAGCGAGAUACCUUAAAGAGAUCUUCCCAAACCCCAAACCCCCUUUUACCCUCGGCUUACACACUACAUCCCAACUAACUAGAUGAUCUCUUUUACCUUCCCCAACCCCUGACCAAAGGAAAUCCCUUUGCAAUCUCUCAAUUUUUGCAGCCAAUGAAGUGGGAAUCUUAAACAGAGAGAGAAAGUAGCUAGGAAUGUGGGAAAGGCAAGAGUGGAUAAGAGUUAUCCUACCCCCAAAAGAUAAGUAAGCGCCUUUUGCCACCCGUCUAAUCUCCUUGAGAUUCUCUCAAUCACUGGAUCCCAGAAUCCACAAACAAUUGGAUUCCCUCCCAAAGAAAGACCCAGGUAGAGUAUAGGUCAAUCAAAAGCCUUGCAGUCAAGAAACAAGGCCAACCUAGAGAGAUGAUUCUGAUCAAGGUUGAUGCCAAAAAGAUUACUCUUGUCAAGAUUGACCUUAAGCCCGGAAAUUUGCCCAAACACUAAUAAUAAACUCUUGAGAGUUUGCAGUUCUUCCGCACAAGAGUUAGAAAAGAAGAUGGUAUCAUCUGCGAAUUGCAAAUGGGACACCCUUGUUCUAUUUCUACCUACCUUGAAACCCUCCAACAUACUUCUUUCCUCAGCUCUCAACAUCAUCCUGCUCAACACAUCUGCGACAAUAGUAAACAGAAAAGAGGAUAAAGGAUCACCUUGCCUUAAUCCUCUAGAUGUCUUGACCCACCCUUUAGCAUUUUCAUUCACUAGAAUAGCAUAAGAGACCAAAGACAGACAACCUCUCAUCCAAUUCCUCCAUUUAGGACUAAACCCCUUCUUCUCCAACACGUGAUCCAAAAAAUCCCAAUUCACGUGAUCAUAAGCCUUUUCAAAGUCAAUUUUGAAGACAACUCUUUCCUCCCCUGAUCGCCUUUUCUCAUCCACUAUCUCAUUGGCUAUAAGAACUGCAUCCAAAAUUUGUCUCCCUUGAACAAAAGCACCUUGAGUAGAGUGGAUAGUUUCGUGUAGUACUCCUCUUAAUCGCCCUAAUAGAACUUUGGCUAUUACCUUAUAGAGACAAGUGAUCAAGCUAAUAGGUCUAAAAUCUGAAAUCUUCUUUGUCUGGAUUUUUUAGACAAAAGAACUAUGAAGGAGGCAUUGGUGCUUUGAUUAAUAAUCCCGCUACUGUGAAACUCUACAAACACCCUCACUAAGUCUUCCUUGAUCACAUCCCAACAAUUCUGAAACACUGCAAUGGUAAAACCAUCAGGCCCCGGUGCCUUAUCCCUAUCUAACUGGAAAAUGGCAUUAAAGAUCUCUUCUUCGGAGAAAGGGGAAUUUAGCCUAGAUGCACUCUCUCCUGAGAUUGGGGACCAGUUUAUGCCUUCGACUCUCCAAGACUCUCCAGGAGGACUCAAGUAGAGCUUUUUAAAAUAUAAUAAGAUCUCCUCUAUGAUGCUCUCGGAAUUAUCCAACACCAAGCCUCUUUCAUUCUCCAAAAACUUGAUGAAAUUCUUGUUUCUUCUGCCAUUAGCCACUUUAUGAAAAAACUUUGAAUUGCAAUCCUCGUCUUUAACCCAUUUCACCUUAAUUUUUUGUCUCCAAUGAAUUUCUUCCCUCAAAAUUAAUUCCUCUAGCUCCCCUUUUCUUAAAUCUCUUUGAGCAGAAAGAUCAGAAGAGAGAACCCCUUCUUGCUCAAUGGCAUCAAUGUUAGAUAUUUCAUCCAAGAUGCUUUUUUUCCUUUCCUUAGCAUUCCAAAAGUAUUCUUAUUCCAAUCUUUCAAUUUUGCCUUAAUAAAUUGUAACUUCCUCAUGAACCUAUGACCUUCCCAACCAUUGCCUUCAAAAUCUCUCCACCAACUACUAAAGCACUCUUUGAAACUUGGAUGUUGCAGCCACAUAUUCUCAAACCUAAAAGGUAUUGGGCCCCACUUGAAAGGAUUGGUAUCCAAAACAAUCGGCCAAUGAUCCGAUGUCCAUCUCGAAAGAACUUCUUGAAGGCUUUGAGGGAAGAAAAGCUCUCACUCAUUUGAAUAAAGAAACCGAUCCAAUAUCUUGCACACCGAAGACUCUUGCAUGUUUGACCAAGUGAAAGGGGCAUUCCGUUAGGGGGGAUCAAGUAAUUCACAAUCUCUUAUAAAACCAUCAAAAUCCCUCAUGCUAGAAGUGAAACUAAAGCCACCCAAUUUUUCUGAACUUCUCCUUAUAACAUUAAAAUCACCACCCACACACCAUAAUGGAAAAGAAAGGUCAAAAAUGUCUAAUAGCCCUUCCUAAGUAAGGGACUGUUUGGGCCAUAAACUACGAACAGCCAUAGUAGUCCGCAUCCAUCCAACAAAAACUUGACUGAAACAGAAAAAGAUCUAAUUACCACCUCCUCGCUGCUCAAUUUCUUUGAGUCUCAAAUGAUCAAAAUCCCUCCUGAAGCCCCGCACGUGGGAAGAGCAGCCCACUCCUUAUUCCUAACCAACCAGACACUACCUACAAACCUUCUGUCACACACCUCUCUUUUUGUUUCCUGAAACAUCACUACAUCCGAAUUCUCGAGCCUCAAAAAAUCCUUAACCACCCUUCGUUUUUUCCUAGAACCCAAACCCCUAGUAUUCCAACUGAUGAUUUUCAUAAAUACACCUCACUGACCCUAAACCUCCAAACCAACACCAACAGAUCUCAACUAUCUGUGUAAAAUCUGUUCUUCCGCCUUGAAUACACCUUAAUGUCCAAAUAACUUAAGACCUCACAGACUUUGGCCAUUCUGCUGGAGGAAAGGCCUUCAAUUUGGAACCCACCCAUCGGGGGGGACUCCGCAACACCCUGGCUAACUGUGACCGGGUUGGGGGCCCUAAGAGGCGAGCCGAGAUUGGGCUUAAAGGAUUUAAAACUCUCGGACAAAUGGUUCAAACUAGCUAACUGGGACACCGCAACAUCUCGGUUAGGAUUGCCAACAGACCCAAGACAAAAAGCCCCAUCGUCAUCUUUUUUGGAAAAAAUUUCAUAUAUAACUCAAGGUUUCGUAGGAAACUGAUACUGAAUGACUGCAUUAGGAAGAACGGGAACAGAAGGACUCAGGUGUGGAAGAGCCAAGCCAGAGGGAGGGGGAAAAAAAGACAAAUGACUGAGAAUGUUGAUAAGAAGAUACCUCGAGGUCUUCCACUACCAUCAUUCCACUAGACCCCACCGAGUGAACCCUUUUUCUCUGGUUACUGGAUAAGAAGGGAAAACCGCGACUGAUGAACCACAAUGAGGAAAACCCGCAAAUCCCUUAAAACCUGCUUUGUCUUCACCUUUAGAGGAGUUGCACAAUUUCUCCUUCCCUUUUGAAAGGAAAGGAGCCUUAAGAAUAGACCUUUGAUCCGCGUCUCCACUCGGUGGCGACGUACCUUCCCCGGAACACCUUUUUCGACUCCCCGACGAGCGACUUGGACUCGCACUAAAGCUCCGUUCAAUCUGUGUUUGAGCUUUGAAAGAAUCUUCCUUUGGAAGAUCAUCGCUAGCUAACAACGGUCUCUCAAGCAUUAGAGGCUCGCUUCGACUUCGACCCCCUUGUCGGCAACCAAAACUUAGAGGGAACAGGGAAUUCCACAGCUUCUUUGAACCACACUUCAACACGGAACCCCUCAAUUGAGCUUCAAACGCCUCAGAGCCUACCUUCCCAUUUCCCUUUGCAUAGGGGUCAUCUCUACGUAAAGAGCCCUUCGCAGAGAUGGGUUGUCUGCCUCCCAUUUCUUGGCCCAACAACGAACACAGGCCUAUUAAAGAAACUCCCCUCUUCCGGCCCAAAGUCAAUUUCAACCUGUGGACUAGGCUUAAGAGAAGAUUGGGCCCUUCUCAUUUGUUUGGAGGCCCAAAGCCCAUCCUCAACAGUUGAUUGGGCUUUGUCCCCUCCAACCCAAACAUCUCCAUCUUGCCUUGGCCCGUCAUACCCUGUUCUCAGAAAAUUUGAAUUCAAACUGAGAGACUGGGAUGGUUGGGACCAGUUGUUCCCCUCUAUCGGUCUUCUCUUGCCACGUGUCCCCACAGGAGCAAAUUCAGCCUUUUGACAAACUUUUCCUUCCUUCAUUCUGCCAACUGCCCCAUCAGAAGACCUACCUACAAUCGUUGAUUUGGCCUCCUCAGCCCUCUUUUUGCCACUUGUCCACGAGUCAGGUUCAAGCUUCUGCCGAGUUGACUCACCCAUUUCUCUUCCUCGCCUAACGUCAUCCUCUCCAGCCACUGCAACUGAAACUGUGAACUCUCAUCCCCCAUCUAAUACCUUGAUCAAAGGUGGGAGAAUUGAUCGUUCCUUCAUUACAACUCUCACCCUUGCCUUGCUAAGAUCAAACAGUUUUAGAAUCGAUCUCUGUCACCGUCCCCCACUGCUCCAUAAUUUUCUUUAGAUGUACCUCAUACCAUAAAUGAAAUGGGAAACCCCGUAAUUCUAUCCAACCUUCUCUAAAUUUCCCCUCUAUUACUGAAUUUUCCUUUGGCGACCAUCUUCUUAACAAGACUGUAAGCCCACCCUUGAUCCUGAUAAACCUUAAAUCGUGGAGUGAUAAAGUUUCCUCUAUGGUUUCCACAAAAAAUAAUCCUUUUCCACCGGAGAAGGGGACGAUAUUCACCACACCUUUAUGCCCUAAUCUUUUCGCCAAAGCCCGACCGACCUCAGCCCAAUUAACAGAACUAGCAUGACAUUCGCACACCACAGCUCUCGCCCAUCUCCCAACUGGAACAAGGCCUUCUCUCCUCGGUCCUUCUUCUCUGACUACAUUCGCGAAGGACCGGCACAAAGGACCCACAUGUUUGUGAAAAGUCCCUUCUUCCCUGCACUGUCUUCCCUUUUCAACAGUACUCAAGGAGGCGACCACCAACCUUGAAGACAAAGCAAACUUUAGAUUUUCCCAACCCCUACCAUUCUCUCCCUCAGGUAUUACCAGGAAAGUUGACUUUCUGUUAGAAGCAAACUCGGAGAGCCUUAUAAACCUACCAUGAUUGUUGAAGCAAACCUCCAUUAAAUGGACUCUGGUUUUCUCUCUGAAUUUUCUACUGAAACUCAUGAAAUUCUUCAUCUCAAUGGCCUUCGUCAAAUGUUCUAUCAACCAACCAACCUCUUCCUUCUCAAAUCCUAAGGCGAAAACAGAGCCUCUACUGUGCUCUAUAAGCGAACACCAUUUUCCCCCGGCCUCACCUUCGAACCUAACCAAGAAGGUCUUCCUCUUCACAGAGACCUUCACCUUCAUUUUUCUUACAGUUAUGUUCCUGACUACCAAGAUUAGGACCUAGACUAUUUUUAAUUGCAAGUUACCUUUAGAUGUUCUUUUCAUUAUUCCCACAACACACUAUAUCUGCAGCUAAUAAAUAUCAGCAAUACAUUUUCAGGUUGUGUCUUUGCUGAGCUCUACUUGGUGUGUAAAACUACCAUUAUAUCUUUGGUCUCCAGGUUGAUGUGGGUGCCCACAUGGCAUUCUGAAUGAUAUAUUUCAUAAGAUAUGCAAACAAAGAAUAUGAUAACUUAGUUUUGGUUGUUUUUCAAUGGUAGUGAUUUCUUUCUGUUAAUCAUGCAUAAUACUUGAUUUAAUGAUACCAAUGCCACAGGGGAGAUGCACAUUACAGUCCUAGUCGUACCUUCGAACAUUAAAAUGACAACCAUAUGUUCUUUUAGAAAAUAAUGUAAAUCCGAAGAAUAGAAGUGAGACUAGAUGCCAUUAUUUCAAUGCAUUGAACUCAAAGAAAAAAAAAAACAUAUGAUCGAAUGUUUCAUAAUAUGCUAACAAAUUGACCUAACAGGUAGAUGAAUACCCAAAUAAACAGGACCAAAACCCAUGUCAAGGAACUGUUAAGCGAUUAAAUUUGCAAGAUAAUGCCUGAUCACAAAUUUGCAAGAUAAUGGAACUAGAAAACAGAUAGUGUUGUCUUGAGAGGUAGUACUUGUUGAAGAAAGAUAUGAAGAUUACUGAGUAUUAUGAGAAUGAUAGGAAAAAAAAUUGCCUUGUAGGUUUGCGCUCUGAAGAUUUGCUCCAGCUAAUAAAGCUCCACGAAGAUUUGCCCCAGUAAAUUCACAUCUUCCCUAGGCAAGAUCAUAUCAUUUGAGAAGGCAGUCCAUAAAAUGUAAAUAUGAUCUAGAACUGUAGAAGGCAAUACUAAUGUAAAAGUUAGGAUCUAAAAUAAGUCAGUCUGUAUCCAGCAACAAUAGCAAAUUAGAGCAAUACAAAUAAAUCAAAAUAAAAAUCCAGUAGUUCUCUGUUGAGUGGCUUACUCACGCAGAGAUGCAUUAUGAAAAAUGGAACCCUCAGCAUCCACAUCCUGUAAUAAGACUACAGAAGCUUAAAUUUGGCUCUACCCAGAUGCAUAGAGAAAAAGGAAAAGAAGAAAAUAUGGUAAUAAUUAUCAAACCUACAUUACAUCAGCACAAUGAUAAGAAUGAAGACCAUGCCACAGCAAUCACAUUAUCAACAUUUAGUCCAACCAUAACCAGUUUGCACUAAAUCUUUCCAAUUGGGAGGUGUUAGAGAGGGUUAGUACAGCUUGAUGACUCAAAUAGAAAAUGAAGAACCAAACAAAUUAACAGGCAGGCAAACCAUUCAUUGGUCAUGUUCAGUUCUAACAACUCUGGAUACAGUUUUUCUAAGUUCCCAUGCUUCUGGAAAUAAUAACAACCAUUCAUGACAAAGACAUAGUCUAACAAAAAACACAAAGAUAUGCAAGAAAAUGGAAAUAAUAGUUUUCAUUCCUAACAUAGAUGUAUUAAUAAAUUUCAUUAAGACAACUUACCCGGAAUUUUGCACACUGAAGGUUAGCACGGGAGAAGAAAACACUUUUAAGGCAUGCAUAGCUGAAGUCCACAUAUGACAGGUCCUGCAUAUUUUUAUAAGAUGGAUGCAUCAAAGGAGGCAAUACCUCUUAAGAAUUUUUACUAUUCACCCAAAAAAAUAAAAUAAAAUAAUAAAAACAAAAACAAAUAAAUAAAUAAAAUCUCUUGGAGCAUUUUAUUUUGCAUAUUUAACCAUCCAACUGGGGUUUUUAAUAACAAUAAUCAUAGAUAAAUAGGUUUAGGGUCAGCAAAAUGAAAUCCUAUAGUUAAUCUUAAAGUAAUUACAGUUUUCACAAGAUAACAUCCAGUUGACACUGGCCAGUGGCUAUUGGCAAUAGAAUCACUUUUCUGUAAGUGCCAUUUCUAGCCUACCAAAAGUGCUUACAGAAAUCUCUUCAGGCAUUUAGAAGUUAAAAUUAUUACCAGUUUAGAAAGAUCAAGGCCAGAGAGAUUCAGUCCUCGGAAUCUAACUUUCUCAGACUGUAUGCAUUUGAUGAUAUCUGUGCGUGUCAAUUCAGUAUCUAACUCCUCAUUUUCCUUCCUCUUAUUAUUUAAAACAUCACCAAUUCCAGCUAUUAGUCCCUGAAACCAUACACACAAAUUUUCAUUACAAAUAUAUAUAACAUUUCCCUAAGAAAGUAGGUGAAACAGUAAUCUUUAAUUGAGAGAAUUACAACUUAAUUUUAAAGAAAGAAAAUAAAAAAUAGGAAACACAAUAAACCUUGUUCAACAUUUCAUAUCUGUGCAUAACAUAUGAAUCUCAAGAUAUUUAUAAUACAUACAAAUUUCCUAAGAUUAAAAGAUAUCCAAGAAAAUUCAUUAUCCAAUGUUUGAAUAAAUAUAGGUUUGAUGAAACUAGAGUUAUGGAGUUUCAAGAAUCAUGAUCAUUCAAACCAUUUCCAACAAACCAGGAUUAAAUAAGCAGAUUGUAUGUCCAUAAUUUCAAAUAAUGUUCCUAAAAGAGAGAGAGAAAUUCAUGACCGGAAUUAAAGGAAAAUUCCCAACCAAAAUAUUUUUAAUGUCAUAGAAAUAUGAUAAUGGUCCUUCCUCUGAUAAGCAUUUCAAGAACCCUAAAUAAAAUAAAGUACCAUAUUGAUAACAAUAGAACUCCUAAUUCAUGAUAAGAAUAAAUUGAUAAAACUCCUAAUUUUGAUUAGAAUAAGAAUCCUAACUUCAUGUGAACAAAAUCCCUCUUAUCCCCUACAUCUAUGCCUAUAAUAAACUAGAAAUUGGUGGUCUUGAACAUCAUCAGUUUUCCUCAGUAGAAAAGGACACAACUCUGAUGAAAUAUGAGCAUGGUAAUGCUCAAGAAGGUCAGGAUCAAAUUGUUGAAACUCAUAAUAUGUAAUACAUGUUGCACUAGACAUUGGACGAUCCUUCCAUUUGAUAAGAAAACAUUACUAUCCACCAUGGAAGGCUCCAAACCAAUUAACCUAAUCAUCAAGGAUAUCCCAUAUCUACUACGGGGUGUCUAUUGAAAUAAUAGAUGUUUGGGAACCUUUAAAGCCACUAUCCGACAAAAUAAGAGGCUCAAAAGUGCCUCAAUAAGGAAACACAUCUCUCACAUUGAAAAUUGGACUCGUAUUCAUAUCAUAUGGUAAGUCAAGAAAAAAAAAUUUAUUGGCAAUAAAAGAGAAUAUAUUGAUAGUGCCUUAGAAAAGGCACACCAAAGUACACACAAUGUAUGCAAUAUGCCCCUAUAGGCUAACAAAGGAAAGAGAACAAAAAAACAACCUCCCUCUGCUCUUUUUUUUUUUUUUUAUGUGAUAACCAAGGAACCUUCCAUGGUCAAGCCUUUAGGACUCUCUAUGGGGACUUAAACCUCGAGCAACAACCACCGGGUAAAUUUAGGGUAUCAUCAAUGACAAGAUUCGAACCCAAGACCAUGUGCCACUUAGUGGGACCACACUUCCCAAUGUUUGCCCUACCCAAUUGGGUUACCCUAGCGAGUAACCUCCCUCUCCUUACUUCAAGCUUAGCUAAUCAACAAAGCCUAUCAUGGAUAAUUGACAAUCUAUGUAUACUUUUAACCCAUUCCAAAAAAAAUAGUCAUAAAAGAAAAUUUAAUUACUUAAUCCAACUGCUCAACAUCUUCAAACAACCUCCUAUAUUUUUCCUUCCAAAGAGUCGAAAACACACGCAAAAGAGUGACCCUUCAAGCUUUCUUCCAUUUCUUCCACACAAAAGAACCAUGUCAACUUAAAAGAUUCUCUCUAACCAUGGAGCACAUCACCUAUGACACACCGAACAAAGAAAAAACUAGUUGUGACAACAUUCUUGCUUUGGCACAAUGAAGAAGUAAAUGAUCAAUUGAUUAUUCAUCACCUUAACACAUGUAGCAUCUAUCUGGCAUGAUCCAUCCCAUCCUUUUGAGUCAAUCAAUUGUCGAAAUCUUUCCUCAAAUGGCUUCCCAUGCAAAAAAGCUAACUUUCAUUGGCACCCAAGGUCCUCUAACUCACCUAACUAAGGAAGCAUAGAGAGAUUUGAGAAGAUGCUACUUUUGGUUUCCUUCCAAGUCAUCUUAUCCUCCUCAUUGCCUUUUAUUAAGGUCACAUGCAAUUCCUUCAAAAGGCCUUCACUCAAUCAAGUUCUCAAUCAUUGAAAAGAAGGGGCUCCAUCCGACCACUUCCCCAUCCACCCACACCUCUGCUACCCAUUCAUCUUUGGAGGCAGCAAUAGAAAAUAAUGUUAGGAAAGCAUCUUCCAAAGUCUUUUUUUUUUUUCCAAAGUCAUAUCACUACACCAUACAUCUUUCCAAAAUUUUACCCUUCUACCAUUCCCGACAAUAAAAUGAGACAUGCUUUUUAUGGCAUUCCAACCAUUUCUAACAGCCUUCCAUACACACACCCCACCCCAUAACCAUAUCACAGCCCCCUUGAACGCCAUUCUCAUACCUCUUACCCAAACUUUCCUGCCAUGACUUGUUUCCACAAGGUUUGAUCCUCAAUUGCAAAUCUCCAGUUAUACUUGCCAAGCAGGGCCUUGGUAAGUAAAUAUGCAUUAGGUCCAAGUCAAUAUGUGUCAUGUCCAAGUAAAUAUGCAUUAAGCUUAACAUAGAAAACAUAAAUGUCUAGAGCAAAAGUAUUCUUCAUGGUCAGAAGGCAAAGGGAUGAGAUCACUCAAUUAGCAGAAAAAAAGGACAUAAAAACUAUCUGAAAUGGUGAUCUAACAAUAGAGAGAUUGACGAAAUUGUUACAAGGUAAAUUAAGAGUCUGUUUAGGAUAGCUUCCUACUUUUGGCUUUGGCAAGAAGCUGAAGCUAAUGCUAAAGCCACAAUAUUUAAAGGGUAAUAUUAGUAAUGUAAAAGUUUUGUUAAACAUGAAAGAACUUCUUGUACAAGUCAAAAUAGAGUUUCUACAAAAAGCAACAUUUUCCCGACCUCCACAUUAAACUCUUUUUUAAGCAAUAAGCUCUCUUAACAAAAUUAGUCAAACAAGCAUAGAAACUCUUAUUAAUCUUAAAAAAGAGUUUUUAGCUUUUCAAAAGUCAAUCAAAAUACGAUAUAAAUUUCAAUUACCUUGCCUACUCCUAUAAGACUCCUAAGCGAGUCCCCUAAAUUAUAGUUAAAAAUCUCAGUUUAACCACCACUUUGUGGAUUAAAGGUUGAAGAAAAUUUCAAAUUGGUGCCAAAAAAUUUCCAAAGUGCCUUCCAAAUAUAAUUGACAAACUUGAGAUCCCCGUUAAGACACUGUAGAAGCAAGUAAAACAUUGGCCGACCUACUACUCAAAAUAAUAAUUUGGCUACAUGAGAACCAUAAGCUAUUUUGCCAUAGAGGACAAUGAGUGUAAUCUUAGAAAAUCUAUCCACCAUAAUAAAAACAAAAUCAUGUUCUCAAGCUACUUUAGCCAACCCAAGAACAAAAUCCAAACUAAGGUCUCUCCAAGGGUUGUGUGGCACUAGUUAAGGUGUAAAUACACCAAUGUUUCCCUUCUUAACAUUCUCUAGAUGACAAGUUCGAUGCCAUGGCACAAUUUUAGCCAUAUCACUUUUCAAGCCAUCUAAUAAAGCAUGGGUUUAUCCCUAACAAGGUUACCAACUAAAACUCCACCAUGCAAUUGACAAAUCAAAAGGUCCCUUAUAAAAAUACAAGGGAUGCAAAACCUAUACCCUCUAAACAAGUAACCAUUGUAAACAAUAAAAUCAACAUGAUUUGGACUAUGAACAUCCUGAAUUUCCCCAUAAAUGAAACCAAAAUAAUGACACCCAUGCUUCAUCCUCUCAAAUCCAACUACAUGUACAUUCAAGACUUGUAAAAUGGCCACUACUCAACUAAGGGCAUCAACCAAAUUAUUCAAUGACUUAAUGGUGGUAGAAAAAUUAUGCAUUCUUUAAAGAACUCUAUCACNNNNNNNNNNNNNNNNNNNNNNNNNNNNNNNNNNNNNNNNNNNNNNNNNNNNNNNNNNNNNNNNNNNNNNNNNNNNNNNNNNNNNNNNNNNNNNNNNNNNNNNNNNNNNNNNNNNNNNNNNNNNNNNNNNNNNNNNNNNNNNNNNNNNNNNNNNNNNNNNNNNNNNNNNNNNNNNNNNNNNNNNNNNNNNNNNNNNNNNNNNNNNNNNNNNNNNNNNNNNNNNNNNNNNNNNNNNNNNNNNNNNNNNNNNNNNNNNNNNNNNNNNNNNNNNNNNNNNNNNNNNNNNNNNNNNNNNNNNNNNNNNNNNNNNNNNNNNNNNNNNNNNNNNNNNNNNNNNNNNNNNNNNNNNNNNNNNNNNNNNNNNNNNNNNNNNNNNAUCUUUUUGGGAAUUCAAGUGUCUCUAUGCAUCAUGGUUAAAAACUUUUGAAAAAGAUAAUACCUCCAAAUACAAAAAGCUUGUACAAAAGCAUAGACUCUUUAUCAUAAGUGGAUUAUCUAUAUUUAGCCUCAUUGAGUUUCUCACUAAAGUACGCUAUAAGACAUCCUUCUUUUACUUACAACGCCUUCUAUGUCAAUGCUUAAUGCAUCGCAUGCCACACCUUAAAGAAAAUUAGAACAACUUAAAACAGUUGUCAACAUCAAUUUUUCUCUUCAUCUUCGCAAAUGCCUUUCUUGUAGCUUUACCAAGGGAACUCCCUUUUUCUCAUACAACCAAUACGGGAGCUAUUUUCGUGUUAGAUUCCAUAAUGAAUUAUCCACAGAAAGCAAUAAUCUGAUGAAAACUGCAAACUUCAGAAAUAGCCUUAGGAUUUGGUAACUCUCUAAUAACCUUAACUUUCUUAGGAUUAGCUUCUAUACCCAUUAAGGGAGAUAACAAAUCAUAAAAAAUAAAAAUAAAAAUACUUUAGGCUAAAGGAAAGAGCAUCUCUUAAGAUUAAGAUAAAGUUUCCUUGCAUUGAAAGUUUCAAAUGCUUCCCUAAGAUAACCUAAAUGUUCCUUUGGAGAUUGUGUAUUGUUAACAUACAGUGUUUUAAAAACCGAACCGGACCAGUUGGUCCGAUUGGUUCAACCACCGGCCAGUCACAAAUCCGGUCCGGUUCAUCCAUUUGAGCCGAGCAGCCUUUGAACCGACAUCGAACCGGUAGUCAAACCGAUGAACCAGUUGACCCGACCGGUUUCGGGUGAAUCGAACAGUUCAAAAAACCCCCCUUUCCUUCCCCACUUCCAGCUCUGCCUCAGCUGACGAGACCCUUCUACUCCGCCUUAGCCGCCGCAACCCUUCUGCUCCACCUCAGCCACCACAACCCUUCUACUCCCAGUGUGCGCCUCCUCAUGCCUCAGCCAACCCCCUCCCUAUCCUUCUUCUGUUGCUAGCCUGUGCCUCCCCCACCCCACCACAUCCUUUUUUUACUUCGAAUCUGCUCCAAGCAUGCACUCCCAAACCCCCACUCCCACCCCCCCCCCCCCUUUUUCUUUUUCCUUUUCUGCUACUGCACAUUGCCUCUUCCCCCUUCCCCUUCCUUUUUAGUUGCCCUUUUACUUCCCCAUCGAUUUUUAUUUUAUUUAGCUUAUUAAUUUAUAUUCAUUAUUAUUAAUUUUUAUUUUUUUUUCACUUUAUGAUUUUAAAAAUUUGUGAUUUUAAUUUAAAUUAAUGAAAACAUUAUAAUUUUAAAAUAAAUUUUUUAUUUUAAAAUAAGUUUUUGAUUUAAAAAUAAAAUUAAAAUUUUCUAAUUUUAAAUUAAAUUCUAAUUUUAAUUUCUAAUUUUAAACUAAUUUUUUUAUUUUUAAAUAAUUUUAUGAUUUUCAAAUAAAAUUUUAAUUUUUAAAUAAUAUAUAAAUUUUUACUUUUAUAAUUAUUUUUAAUUUUAAUAAUAUAUAAAUUAUAUAUUUAUGACGUCACCGGUUCAACUGCGGUUUAACCGCCAAUCCAACUAGUGAAUCAUGAAUCGGUCCGGUUCUGAAAACAUUGUUAAGAUAACAUCAAAAUAGACCACAUUUUCCAAUGGAAAGGACAACCAAGCUUGCGUAAUAACUCUCAUUAAUGUUCUAGUUGCAUUAGGUAAUCCAAAGUGCAGGACAAACCACUCAUAAAGUCUAUCUUGUAUCUUAAAUACAACUUUCCACUCUAUACAACGAACUUCUAUUUUACAAAAUUGUUUAGACAUGUGCCUCUAUCAUUGAUAAGUUGUUUAUUCUUAUCAUCCUGCUUGGACUAAUUACUUUUGGUUCCCUUUCUUUCUCAAUAUGUUUCAAAUUAAUUUCUUUUCUAAUUGCACAAUCUUUAAUUAGGCUAAUUCAAACCUAAUUAGCCUAUAAUCCCAACUAAUAUAUGUCACACUAUUUAAAGUUCUUAUGAUAGUGAUGUCUCAAAUUGAGAACACUAAAAAAGUUUCUUAUGAUCCAAGUAAGAUGAAGGUUGUCAAGGCUACCAAGCUCAACAAGACCACAUUUGUAGCCUUAAUUCUAAAGGGGAUUCAAGUCAAUGGGAAUCACUAUUAGGAAUAAGCUUCAUUAGAUAAUGGCUAUGAUGGUUCCCUAAGUAACUCCUUCCAGCACCAAGUGAUUAAGAGUAUGGCUUGCACAGUGAUGACUAAAAUAACAUCAUCAUAGUAAAAGCCCACAUUCAUGCCCUUGGAAAGCUAUAGCCCAGAUUUAUUCUAAAUUGACUAGUCAUAUUCACCUUAUGCAAGUGAAGGAUCCUCUACUCUUUCUAGGAGGAUCUAUGGUGGGAAGAAGAUCAGCCUUUAUUUCAUCUAUUCCCCCAUCUUUACUUCCUUUUGAGGUCAAAGGUUCUCCCUAUAGUUAGGAUCUUCGCUUUUGCGCACGAGUCUCCCACUUGAAAUCUUGAAUUCCAAAGGCAUCCUUUAGAUCAAGAAAUUGAAGAUCUAUUAACCCUUCUAUUGUCUUUGCAAAUUCUACUUUCCUUGUACUCCUCCUAAUGAUAUGUGUUAGUCCGUAGGCCUAAUGGUUCUUUCUACUAUAAAUUUGUCUUCCAAUUUCUUUCUAAAUUGAUUCUCCUUCUCUCACAAAGGCAAACUCAUUUGAAAACCAAAACUUCCUCAAGAGUUCAAGCUUUUGCUUGAUUGAUGGCUAAUAGAAAGGUAAAUGCUAAUGAUCUACUUUAGCUAAGGAGACCCCUUCAAACCUGUUGAAUAUAAUGUAUUUAUAGUAUAUUAUCUUUCCUUGUUAAUAUAGGUCACAUGUAUGGUAGUUAGGACUCCUAGCCUUGUAUAUAUAUAUCUCUCAAUUGUAAGUAGAUAUUACAUGAAUGAGAAUUAAGGUUUUUCUUCUUUCUCUCUCUCUCAACAUGGUAUCAGAGCUAGGGAAGAAAACCUAAUUCUUUCCUGUUUCCCGUGUCAUCAACUCCGGGAAACCUUUCGGUGACCGUGUUUCAUUCCGGUCACCUUCCCCAUCUCCCAAUACUUUCCGGUCAGUCGGAACGUCGUUAGAAACCACUCACCGCCGGCGAACUUUUCCGGCGAACUUUUCCGGCGAACUUUUCCGGCGACCUAUUUUUCCAACACCGACCAUACCAGAAGGAGCGCCUGGAGGAGAUCUCCAACUUUUGUGAAGGCACCGGCACCAAAAGAGGAUCCACGCGCCGGCCACGCGCCAUUUUCCGGCCGGCGACUGCAUCUCACGCGCCGGCGCGUGAGGGCGCGUGAGGCCUUUUCCGGCGACGCGCCUCCUCCUCCAGCCUCGCCUGCCGCCGACCAACAUCCCUACCUACCUGGUUCUCCCAUCCGAGCCCUGCACGUACCUCUUUUGGGGUUUUUUGUCUCCGUCAGCCCUCCAAACAGCCUUUCCGACGAAGUUCCGGCUACUUUCUCUCCACCCCAAUCCCUGCACGUGCCUUGGGAAGUGUUCUUCUACCUUUCUGGUGGUACCACGUUGCGAUCUGAGGCCGUCUCCCUUUUUCAGUGGUGCCACGCCGCAAUCUGAAGCCGUAUUAAGGCUCUCUUCGAUCCAAAUACGUGAAUAUGACCACCAAAAAUCAGAUCUUUACCUCUGUUAUCUCUGGAUCUCCUAUGAUUACCUCAGAGAAAUUGGUUGGCAGUGAAAAUUAUCUUUCCUGGUCUGCCUCUGUUGAACUUUGGUUUAUGGGUCAAGGAUAUGAGGAUCACUUGGUUACCCAGGAGGCAGAUAUCCCUGAGGUUGACCGCGUACAGUGGAGGAAGAUAGAUGCACAGUUAUGUAGUGUAUUAUGGCAAUCGGUUGAUCCCCGGAUUCUUCUUCAUCUUCAGGCCUAUAAAACUUGUUUUAAAUUUUGGACUCAGGCCAAAGGAUUAUACACGAAUGAUAUCCAGCGUCUUUAUAAGGUGGCUUCUGCUAUUAUCCAUCUCAGCCAACAGGACUUGGAUCUAUCUACUUAUAUUGGUCAGAUUGCCUCUCUUAAGGAGCAGUUCUUGACUGUGAUGCCUCUUACUCCUGAUGUUGGGGCUCAACAAACACAGCUUGACAAGUUCUUCAUGGUCCUUACUCUUAUUGGCCUCCGUCCGGAUCUUGAGCCUAUUCGUGAUCAGAUUCUUGGUAGUUCAUCAGUUCCGUCCUUGGAUGAUGUGUUUGCUCGCCUCCUCCGUAUCUCGUCCACUCAGACUUUGCCAUCUGAUAGCGCUUCAGAUUCUUCUGUGUUAGUUUCUCAAACUACCUCUCGAGGAGGACGCAGUGGUACCCGAGGUAGAGGCCAACGUCCUCAUUGCACCUAUUGCAAUAAACUUGGCCACACUCGCGAUCAUUGCUAUCAGUUACAUGGAAGACCUCCUCGCACUGCCCAUAUGGCCCAGUCCUCUAAUUCUCCGCUGCCUCAGCCUCCGAGCUCCUCCGCAUCUCAGACAUCUCAGGCUUCUAUUGCCUCUGUUGCCCAGCCUGGUAAUGCCUCUACCUGCCUUACCCACACAUCUUCUCUUGGACCCUGGAUUCUAGAUUCUGGAGCAUCUGAUCACCUAUCUGGUAAUAAGGAUCUUUUCUCCUCUAUUACUACUACCUCUGAUUUACCUACUGUUACCUUAGCUAAUGGUUCUCAAACUGUGGCUAAAGGUAUUGGUUUGGCCCUUCCUCUGCCUUCUCUACCUCUCACUUCUGUCCUUUAUACUCCUGAAUGUCCUUUUAAUCUUAUUUCCAUCAGCAAAAUCACUCGUACUCUUAAUUGUUCUAUUACCUUUUCUGAUAAAUUUGUGACCUUGCAGGACCGGAGUACGGGGAAGACGAUUGGCAUAGGACGUGAGUCUCAAGGCCUCUAUCACCUCACCUCAGAUUCAUCUCCUGCAGUUUGCAUUUCCACUGAUGCUCCUCUCCUCAUUCACAAUCGUCUGGGCCACCCUAGUCUCUCCAAGUUCCAGAAGAUGGUUCCUCGUUUUUCCACUUUGUCGUCGCUUCCGUGUGAGUCAUGUCAGCUUGGGAAACAUACUCGUGUCUCGUUCCCAAAGCGUUUGAAUAAUCGGGCAAAGUCUCCUUUUGAGCUUGUCCACACUGAUGUUUGGGGUCCUUGUCGGACUGCGUCUACUUUAGGAUUUCAGUAUUUUGUCACUUUCAUUGAUGACUAUUCUCGAUGUACUUGGUUAUUUUUAAUGAAAAAUCGAGCUGAGUUAUUCUCUAUUUUCCAGAAAUUUUAUACUGAAAUCCAAACCCAGUUCAAUAUUUCUAUUCGUGUGUUACGCAGUGACAAUGCCAGAGAAUAUUUUUCAGCCCAAUUUACUUCGUUUAUGUCUCAUCAUGGGAUUCUUCAUCAGUCUUCUUGUGCUCAUACUCCUCAACAAAAUGGGGUAGCUGAACGCAAGAAUCGACAUCUUGUUGAGACAGCUCGUACUCUCCUCCUCCAUAGUCACGUUCCUUUUCGUUUUUGGGGGGAUGUUGUUCUUACCGCUUGUUAUUUGAUUAAUCGUAUGCCCUCCUCUGUCUUACACGAUCAGAUUCCUCACUCCCUUCUUUUCCCUAACCAACCACUUUAUUUCCUUCCUCCUCGUGUCUUUGGUUGUACUUGCUUUGUUCAUAUUCUCACUCCUGGACAGGACAAGCUUUCCGCCAAAGCCAUGAAGUGCCUCUUCUUGGGAUAUUCCAGACUUCAGAAGGGUUAUCGUUGUUAUUCCCUUGAGACUCAUCGAUACUUUAUCUCCGCUGAUGUCACCUUCUUUGAGGACUCACCAUUCUUUUCCACCACUUCUGAGUCUCUUCCUGUUUCUGAAGUCUUGCCCAUUCCCAUUGUCUCCCCACCUGAUGCUAUGCCCCCUCGACCACUUCAGGUUUAUCAUCGUCGUCCUCGUGUCGUUGCUCCUCUCCCUUUUCCUGAGGCACCUGCUGACUCACUUCCUAUCCCUUCGGCUUCACCUGCCCCGGCUCUGCCUUCUCCUAAUGACUUACCCAUUGCUGUUGGGAAAGGUACUCGCUCUACUCGUAAUCCUCAUCCUAUUUACAAUUUUUUGAGUUAUCAUCGAUUAUCUUCACCCUAUUCUGCUUUUGUUUCUGCUAUAUCCUCUGUUUCUCUUCCAAAGAGCACCCAUGAAGCUCUUUCCCAUCCAGGCUGGCGACAGGCAAUGGUGGAUGAAAUGGCUGCUCUGCACUCUAAUGGCACUUGGGAUCUUGUUGUUUUACCCUCUGGUAAAUCUACAGUUGGUUGUCGUUGGGUCUAUGCAGUUAAGGUUGGUCCUGAUGGUCAGGUUGAUCGCCUUAAGGCCCGCUUAGUUGCUAAAGGCUAUACUCAAGUUUAUGGUUCUGAUUAUGGUGACACAUUCUCACCUGUUGCCAAGAUUGCUUCUGUCCGCUUGCUUCUCUCCAUGGCUGCUAUGUGUUCUUGGCCUUUUUAUCAGUUGGAUAUUAAAAAUGUCUUCCUUCAUGGUGAUCUUGCCGAGGAAGUUUAUAUGGAGCAACCUCCUGGUUUUGUUGCUCAGGGGGAGUCUGGUUUAGUGUGCAGGUUACGCCGUUCUCUAUAUGGCUUGAAACAAUCUCCUCGAGCAUGGUUUAGCCGUUUUAGUUCUGUUGUUCAAGAGUUUGGCAUGCUUCGCAGUACAGCAGACCAUUCAGUUUUUUAUCAUCAUAACUCCUUGGGGCAGUGUAUUUAUCUGGUUGUUUAUGUGGACGACAUCGUCAUUACAGGCAGUGAUCAGGAUGGUAUUCAGAAACUAAAGCAACAUCUUUUUACCCACUUUCAGACCAAAGACUUGGGGAAACUCAAGUAUUUCUUGGGAAUUGAGAUAGCUCAAUCCAGUUCUGGUGUGGUCCUUUCCCAAAGGAAGUAUGCUUUAGACAUCCUGGAAGAAACCGGUAUGUUAGACUGUAAACCGGUAGACACACCUAUGGAUCCGAAUGUCAAACUUGUACCAGGACAGGGGGAGCCUUUAGGAGACCCCGGGAGAUAUCGACGGCUCGUAGGUAAAUUGAACUAUCUCACCAUUACUCGUCCAGACAUUUCUUUUCCUGUGAGUGUUGUUAGUCAAUUCCUACAGUCACCAUGUGAUAGCCAUUGGGAUGUCGUAAUCCGUAUUCUUCGAUAUAUCAAAAGUACACCAGGCCAAGGUGUAUUGUACAAGAACAGAGGUCAUACUCAAGUUGUUGGUUACACAGAUGCAGAUUGGGCUGGCUCACCCACAGAUAGACGUUCCACUUCAGGGUACUGUGUUUUUAUUGGAGGUAAUCUAAUAUCUUGGAAGAGUAAGA
rnacentral:lncRNA from 1 species